rnacentral:lncRNA from 1 species
UUGUCCAAUAACAAACUUAAAGGUAGAGUGCCACAUUGGUUGCAUGAAAUAUCGUUAUCUGAAUUGGACCUCUCUCAUAACCUAUUGACACAAUCAUUGCACCAAUUCUCGUGGAACCAACAACUCGGUUACCUUGAUCUUAGUUUUAACUCAAUCACUGGUGACUUCUCUUCCUCAAUUUGCAAUGCAAGUGCAAUUCAAAUUCUCAACUUGUCUCACAACAAGUUGACAGGAACCAUUCCACAAUGCCUUGCAAACUCAUUAUCCCUUCAAGUUUUGGAUCUACAACUGAACAAGCUUCAUGGCACUUUGCCAAGUAUCUUUUCAAAGGACUGUCGGCUCAGAACUCUGGAUCUCAAUGGCAACCAACUAUUAGAAGGUCUUUUGCCAGAAUCUUUGUCCAAUUGCAUUCAUCUGGAGGUUUUAGAUCUUGGAAACAAUCAAAUAAAGGAUGUGUUUCCCCAUUGGCUUCAAACUCUACCAGAAUUGAAAGUAUUGGUUUUGCGAGCCAACAAGUUGUACGGUCCCAUUGUCGGUUUAAAGAUCAAGCAUGGAUUCCCCCGUUUAGUCAUCUUUGAUGUCUCUUUCAACAACUUCAGCGGCCCAAUACCAAAAGCCUACAUACAAAAAUUUGAAGCGAUGAAGAACGUUGUUAUAGAUACCGAUCUGCAGUACAUGGAAAUUUCUAUUGGAGCUAAGAUGUACAGUGAUUCUGUGACUAUAACAACAAAAGCAAUUACUAUGACAAUGGACAAAAUUCCAAAAGGCUUUGUCAGCAUUGAUUUAUCAAAAAACGGAUUUGAAGGAGAGAUUCCAAAUGCCAUUGGAGAGCUUCAUGCCCUCAGAGGGCUCAACCUUUCCCAUAACAGAAUUAUUGGUCCUAUUCCCCAAUCCAUGGGAAAUUUGACAAACUUAGAAUCAUUGGAUCUCUCCUCAAAUAUGCUCACUGGUGGGAUACCUACGGAAUUAAGCAACUUGAACUUCCUUGAAGUCCUAAAUCUUUCCAAUAACCAUCUUGCUGGAGAAAUACCUCGAGGACAACAGUUCAGUACUUUUACCAAUGAUUCCUAUGAGGGAAACUCUGGGUUAUGUGGACUCCCACUGACAAUCAAAUGCAGCAAGGACCCUGAACAACAUUCUCCACCUUCAACUACCUUGAGGAGAGAAGGAGGAUUUGGAUUUGGUUGGAAACCAGUGGCUAUAGGAUAUGGAUGUGGAAUGGUCUUUGGAGUGGGAAUGGGAUGUUGUGUAUUGUUAAUAGGAAAGCCUCAAUGGCUUGUGAGAAUGGUCGGAGGUAAACCCAAUAAAAAGGUGAAAAGGAAGACAAGGAUGAGAUCUAAUGAAAAUGGUAGCAGAAUGAAUUAGUUGAUAUAUGGCAUGACUGGAGAAUGUCUUGUUACAUACCUGCCAUCUUUGAAAACAAAACUUAAGGGCAAGAACUUUAUCACACUGCAUUGCAUGGGAGAUCUGGUUCAAAGUUUUGCUGUAAUAUGAAUGUGUUAUACUCUUGCUUUUGUCGUAUAACUGUGGCAUUAAUUGGUUGUAUAAUAAUAGAUGUUGUAUAUUUUUAAAAAUGGUAUGUAUUGGCCAAUGCUAAAAUAUUUUGUAUCUUAAUUCAAGGAGCUGAAUUCACGGUUUUAGCUUCCAUUGUAGUCUAUUUAAUUAAUUUUCUAACUAUUUAACCACCGUGACAUGGCUUUAGAAGCUGAGGGGUCCAGGGACUUAACUAUAAGAGCACAAACAAUGCAUACUAAAAAGUUGCAUAUUUAUUUUUAUAGCCUAGGCCUCAUGGUCCGUAGGAUAUCACAUAUUUAUUUUUUAUUAAGUAAUUUUUCCCAAAUUAGAACAAUUGUCUGGUGAAAAUUUUCAAACUUUGAAAUAAAAGUUGCAGUACUAAAAUCAGUUAUAAUUAAACCUAAACUUUUUCUUUUUCAAUUACUAUUACGAUAAAUUGGUAGUGGUACGUGCUGUAAAUAUUACAUCUACUUAUAAUGUCAGCACCCAAAAAUUAUUUUUAUAAUGUAAAAUUUACAUUGUCAUUAAUUUGCUUUAUUAAUUUUUAUUAUAACUAUUUUAAAUUUAUAUUAUUAUCAUAAAAUCUGAAAAAUCGUAUCUAUAAUUUUUAAUUAAGCGUAAAAUUUUGUAACUUUUAUAAAUUUUAGUAAAUAUUAAAAAAAUAUAUAAUAUAAUGCUAGUAUUUUUCAAAAAAAUCAACAUUAUCAUUAAAUAAACCUGUGUGUUGUACAAUAAUUCCCUUUUAUCAUUCAAAAGAAAAAUUGAAACUGUUAUUCAAAAUAAAAUAACCAUUAGUGAAUUUUAUGAUAAUUACCUUAAUGAUUAAAUAUAUUUAGUUAAUUUUUUUUGCUCCCUAAUAAAUUUUUGUUUUGUUUUGAGUACUAUAUAAAACAAUAAUUUUAUUUUUGGUCCUAGAUAUUUUGUUGUAUAUAAUCCCUAAUAAGUUAGCAAAUUUUUGUUUACUUCCUUUUAAAUUAACAAAUUUUGUUUUAGUCCCAACUAAUAACAAAUGAAAAAAAUUAUCAAGAAAUAAACACACAAUUUGUGAAUCUAUCAGGGACUAAGAAAAGUAUCAAGAACCAAAAUAAAAUGAUUUUUUUAUUAGAAACUCAACGAAAAGUAAAAAUUUAUUAAAAAUUAAAUACAAAAAAUAAAUAUUUAUUAGGGAUUAAAAUUAUAAUUAAAACUUGUCUUAAAUAUUAAAUCUAUUAUAAUUAUUAAUUGGUUCACAACAUAUAAAUAUUUACACUUGUUAAAAUAUACUAUAAUUUCUCUUAAAUUAUUAGGUAAAAUUGGUAAGAGUGUGAGAAACUUAAUUAUUUAUCAAUACCAGCUAUGUGAAUGAACUAAUGUGGGUUUUUGAGCUAGAGACUCUUGGGAAAAAAAUAUUGUCUCAUAAUGAGAAGAAUACAUCAUAAAAAAAUAGAAAAUAUAAAAAUUUGUUUAAUAUGUUUCAACCCUCAUCCUUGCAUUGACAAUAUUAUACAUUUUAAGGAUAACAUAGAAAAAUUUACAAACAUUUUCUCCUUACGAUUUCCCCUCUGUUUGUUAGGGUAGUGACAGUUUCUUCGCACUAGAUGUGGUGAUUCUUCUCAUCUCAAAAAAUCUCUAUUUAUAAACCUAACAUUCUAAUAUUAACUGAAUUCAAAUCCUUAAUUUAUAAAUAAUAUAUUUAAUUCUAAAUGAUAUCCUAAAAAUAAGAUAAUAUCUUUUUUAAAAGCUAAACAAUAUCCUAUAGAUUUGUUAUUCAUUGAUUGAACCAUCAUUAAUUCCUACAUCCACAACUUUUAUAUAAGAUUUUAUGACAAGCAAGACAAACUUGCAAACCUUCCCUUGAUAUGACUCAUCUCUCUUAGGGUAUUGACCUAGGUUGAGUGAUUAUUCUUAUCUCAUAAAUCUUAUUUUAUAGACAUAACAUUCUAAUCUUAAAUGAGGAAACAAAUACCUAAUUUAUUAAUAAUAUAUUUAAUUUUAUCAACAUUCUAAAAAUAAGAUAAUAUCUUUUUUUAAGAAAAUAAAUAUCUUAUAGAUUUGAGAAUACAAAUAAGAUAUAUCUAACAAGAAGCAAAGUUGGACUUAUGUAGAUCAACCAACUAAUCCCUAUACCCACUCAUCACCUAAGCUCAGCCAAAACUCGCUUAGGCCUCAACCCUGCAUCGCUUAAGCUCUUAGCCAACACCACUUAAGCUACAUAAAAAAACAUGCUAAUUUUUGUGCCCAUUCUAGCUUAAGCGCUACCCAACACCAUUUAAGCUACUUCAAACUAAUUUACUCAAAUUAAAAAGAAUAAUGAUUCAACUAUUUAAUCACUACACAUUAAAUACCUAAUUUAUUUUCCGCACAUCACGCAACUGGUCCAUUUAUCUUUUUUAUUUAUUUCUUACAUGUAAUUUUCUUUUUAUUUUUUAAAAUCCAAAAUUUUCAUCUCUAUUUUAAAAUAAAGAUAUUUAAUCGAUUGUUUUUUACGAUCUAUAAUUUUAAUUUUCUAUUUUAAAAUAGAAAUAUUAGUCAUUUAUAUUUAUAAAAUAUGGAAUUUUAGUUAUCCCCAACUAAAAGCUUUGAUUGUUAAGAGCUUAAUCUUUAUUAUGAUAUAGAUUAACUAAAUUAUCUUGUGUCACAUUAUUAGAUUUGAAUCACAUCAAGUUAGCUUCUUACUAAUCAACGCUAAAUGAUUAUGUGGAUAUAAUCACAAAUGAUCAAAAUUAUAAAUUUUAUAACCUUAAGUAAUUAAUUGUUUUUAUUUUAAAAUAGAAGUAUUAAAAUUGUAAAAUAUAAAAAUUAAGACGGUCAAAUAUUUUUUAAAAUAUAGAAAUCAAAAUUAGAUAUUUUGAAAAUAGGAAAAAAUUACAUUUAAGUUUUUAUUUUUAUUUUUUACCGGAGGUCCAUAUGUCUAGUACUUAGAAAUCACGUCAUUAUAAAAAUGCGCCACUAGAGCAUAAUAUAAUAGCAUGAAGGACGUCAUUAUAAUUACAUUUAAGCCAUGAAGAACGUUGUUAUAUAUGCCAAUCCGCAAUACAUGGAAACUUCUGUUAUGGUUAGUGACACCAACAACACUGAUCAUGAAACCAACUACGCUGAUUCUGUGACUGUAACAAAAAAAAACAAUUACUAUGAAAAUGGACAAAAUUCGAAAUGACUUUGUAAGCAUUGCACAACAGAUUUGUAGGAGAGAUAUUCCAAAUGCCAUUGGAGAGCUUCACUCACUCAGAGGGCUAAACCUUUCCCAUAACAGAUUUAUUGGUCCUAUUCUACAAUCCAUUGGAAAUUUGACAAAGUUAGAAUCAUUGGAUCUCUCCUCAAAUAUGCUCACUGGCGGGAUACCUAGAGAAUUAAGCAAUUUGAACUUUCUUGAAGUCCAAAAUCUUUCCAAUAACCAUCUUGCAUUUGUGGGAGAAAUACCUCAAGGAAAACAGUUCAGUACUUUUUCCAAUGACUCCUAUGGUAGAAACUUGGGGUUGUGUGGACUCCCAUUGACAGCAGAAUGCAGCAAGGACCUUGAACAACAUUCUCCACCUUCACUAACCGUUGGGGGAGAACAGGGAGUUGGAUUUGGUUGGAAACCAGUGGCUAUGUGAUAUGGAUGCGGAAUGGUCUUUGGAGUGGGAAUGGGAUGUUGUGUAUUGUUAAUAGGAAAGCCUCAAUGGCUAGUGAGAAUGGUUGGAGGUCAACUCAAUAAAAAGGUGAAAUGGAAGACAAGGAUGAGAGCUAAUGAGAAUGGUAGCAGACUGAAUUAGUUGAUAUGUGGCAUGACUGUAGAAUGUCUUCUUGCACACCUUCCUGUUGAAAUUCAAUUCUGCCUUGUUGGAAAACAAAACUUAAGGGCAAGAACCUUAUCACACUGCAUUGCAUAUGCAUGCGAGAUCUGAUUCAAAGUUUAGUUGUAAUUGUAAUAUGGUGUUGUACUUUUUUUUCUUUGUGUUCAAUAAAUGAGUGUGAUAUACUUUUUUUUUUCUUCCAUUGCCCCAGAAACUCGGGUCUGAAUCAUCCAAAAGUUUGAUAAUUUUUCUGUUCAUUAAUACGCUUAGAUUGUUUUAUUUUUUUAAACUUUUUUAUAUUGGUGAAUAGUAUCAAGUUAAGUAGUGAAUAAUGUGUUGACAAUCAACAAUCAUUUCGCUAAUAUGCUGCAUAUUAGAAAAUUGUAGCAGUCAUUAAUACCAAUUUGCAUUAUGCACGCUAUUUUGAUCCCAUUGCUGUUGUGGAAGUAGUUUUGCUCCAGACAAGGAAUGGAAAUUGACCAGGAAUUUUGUUUUUUUGUGCCAUCGAUUGAGUUUGUAUAAGUGAAGAUAUGUUGAUCUUCUGACAACCUUUUUUUUUUCGAAAUUAUAAUAAUUACUAGUUCGCUAUCUAAAUUCAUGGGAAAUUGAAAAUUGAUUCCCACGAAACUGUAUUCUUCUUCUACAUUACACUUCUCAGGUGUUCAUAGAAGUCCUCUUCCUACUGGUAAGCCGUAUCAUAUUCACUCUCCCUUGCAUUCUGAUUUUUACUUAUAAAUAAGUUAAUGUCUAAGAGCAGGGUUGAAUGAGCGUAAAAAAAGAGAUAUUUUCUAUGAAGUUUUAAAACAAAUUUUACCGAAUUACAUUGUAAUUGAUCAAAUUCCAGAACCAGCCAUUUUGUAUUCUGUUCUGUUAGGCUCUAGCGUAGCUAACCCUAUACGAACUGGCUUAGCACACUUUACAUUAGUGGUUGGGUCUUGAACAUAUAUAGUUUCUUAUGCUUUAAAUUAAUAUUAAGCAUUGUGUUACUUCUAUGAUUGAGACAGCUAAUAGAGGAUGGGGUUGGAUUUUGGAAAUAAGGGGCUCAGAUACAAGUCUAGAUCCUCUUUAGUUUGUGAACUAAAAUUUUUGUUUUGGUUUUGCCUAUCUCUUAAUCUCUUAAGCUAUUAAAAUUAUUCUAGAAUCCACCUAAAGUUUUUUAUUCAAAAAUAAGUGUUGGAGUCUUAAGAUAAUGGUAUCAAGUUUAUUUAUGUAAUUUGUUUUUGGUGACCUAUUGCGGAAAAUCUUUUUAGUAUUUACUUUCUUGGAUUUUUCAAAAAAUUGAUAUUAGAGUCAAUCUUCGAUUUAGUGACCGGUUUAGACGAGGAAGAUGACGUUGAUGAAUUUAUGGAUAUAGAAUUUAUUGUAUCAAAAGUCUUUCUAUCAGCUGAAUUCAUGCAUAAAUGUCACGUAGCAAAGUUGUAGGUGUUACAAUAGUGCAAGCUACUAGAACAUGUUAUGACAAUGGCUAGACAAGCUAGAGACAAUAAAAAUUAAGUUUUAUGGGUCACCAUUAAAUAUUCUUAGAUUGAAAAUGACUUUCGGUCUUGACUUGAGAGCCUUUUUCUUAGUUUACACCUCGGCUGUGCCAUUAACAAUUGAUAAUGCUGUCUAGCAAGCUAUAUUGUGAAGAUAAAUACUUCUCUCCAUAUUUGUCCAUUUUACAUAUUUCCUGGUGUCAAAAUAUUAUUUUUAUUGUAUUUUUAUAUUUCCUGGUGUCAAGUAUCAAUGAUAAGUUUUACCAAAAAAUAAUAAUCAAUAACUAUAGUUAUGUAUAUAAGGAUAAUAAUUAUUUGACCUCUACAACAGGAUCCUAGUAUGAAGUAGUUCUGUAUGUAAAUCUUGCACAGACAAGCCAAAAUAAUAUAGCAUUGAUCAACCUGUUAAUUAGAAGAAUCAAGUUAAAAGCAGCUUGAAAAAGAGCAGGUAUAUGUAAAUAAUAGAAUACGGGGCCAUCUUGCAGUUGAGAGCGUCAUCUUUCUCCUCAUUUUGGAAUCACUCAAAUCCAAAUUUUGUAGAUUGAGAUAAUAUCAAAAUUUAAAACUUGUUCUAGGUCGUGUUUGGUGUGCAAAUUCUAUCUUAGAAGAUCCAAUUUGAACCAAGCACGUGGUUUCCCAUCACUUCUAUACUUGAAAAUAUAAAUAUGCUACAUUAAAGAGUUUUAUUCCAUUGAAUAUUCUUUCAGAAAAUGAUUUCGCAUUGGAUGUUCCUUCUUUCUAAAUGUGAUCUUUAAAACAAUGUAGAAUUUAUAAAAAAAAAUUGCGUGUAAUGUUCCUUCUUUAACAAAGGGGUCUUUGAACAAUUUUAAAUUUUAUAAACAUUUACUAAUUCUUUUUCUGUCGAUCACCAGAGGCUUAGUAUUAGAAUUUCAAAAUUUAGAUGUGAAAGGACGAAAACUGCAAUGUGAAAAGUGAAAGUUGUUACGUGGAAGUAUAUAUGGCAAAACGAAAAGAAAAAUUGGAAAGAACAAACUCCGUGUGAGCAUCACUAAUUAAAGUUAAAGUUGGACUAAAUUAAAAGAACCAAUAAAAACAAAAGUAAGAUCACUAAUUAAAGUUAAAGUUAGACUAAAAAAAAGAACCAAUACAAACAAAAGUAAGAGAAAUAAAAGGCAACAACUUACAGGUACCUCUCCAAAUACUUGCAAGCUUAAUAAAAUAAUUAAUGAAAAUCUAAUAAUAAAAAAUGGAGGAAAUAGCCAACAUACCUGCAAUAUAUUACCAUGCAUUGUUACAUCUCUACCACAAAACAUGAAUAUCUAAUCUUAUUGGAAACGAUAUUAAUGGAUGAAAUGAUAAACAUCUCUUUUUAAACCUUAUACAUCAUUCACAUAAUUAUUUCAUGUAUCUUGUUUAACAUUUUCUAAUUUUAAUUUAUAUUUUCUUCUUCGUAAAUAUAAAGAUAUGUACACCAAUUAACAAAGUUCAUGUUGUUUACAACUUCCUUUAAAAACAAUGUUGUUUACAACUUAUUUUCUACAUUAAUUAUUAUCUUAAUCUUUUUUUUUCAAACAAAACUCAUACUCAAUUUUUCAUAUAAAAAUUAGUUCUAACAUUUAAUUUUAUUCUCAAUGUUAAGCAACCACAUUAAUAACACUUUCAAAUCAUCCACCGUAUUCUAACAAUGUCCAACUCCUAAAUUGUGACAGAUAUAAGUUUUCUAACUUAUAAAUAUUUUAAUUACUAAAUUAAAUUUUUGACAAAUAUUAAUUUUAAAAAUAUGUUAAUUUUAUACAUAUGCUUUCAACGAAUAUUUUAGAAUUAUGUAUUUUUUAAUUUAAUAUAAUAUUUUUUUAAAUAUUUCUAACAUCUUGAAAUUAUAUCAUAUACAAUUAUUAAUUUACAAAUAACUUUAUAAAUGAUAUAAUUUUGACAAAUAAAUUUUUUAUGUAUAAUUUCAAAAAAUAUUUUAUAAUUUAAUUUUUUUAUAGUUUAAGGUAAUAUUUAUAUUUUAAAUAUUUUUUCUCCGAAUUAUAGUUUAAGGUAAUUUAUUUUUCAAGGGUUAAUAUUAUUGUUAGAGUCUGUUUAGCAAGCACUAUGAGUCUGUUUCACAAGUCACUCCAGUAGCUUAUAAUUUUGUUUGACUAGCAUAUAAGUUGAUUUUAUCAAAAUAAGUUUGGGUAUCAAAACAAACUUAAUUUAAUAACUUUUAGCUUAUUUUCAGACGCUAUUUCAACUAGUAUUUUAGCUUAUAAGUUAUUAAUUUAUUUUUAUAUUUAUAUUUUAUUAUUUUACUUUGAAUUAUUUUUUAUCCUUUUUUAAAUAAAACAAAUUUAUUUAAUUAAAAUAUAAUUUUUUAGAAAAAGAAGGACACAAGUCAUAAAAAAUAAAAAAAACUACAACACUCCAUUGUUUUCAAAAGUCAUAAAUCCAUAUACAUGAAGAGGGUUAAACAAAUUCAUCAAGUCUCUAUCAUUCUUUUAUAGUAUCAAACUAAAAUUAUUUUCCUAUUUUUAUAGGAUAAUAAAUUAUUACUAUAAAAAAGAUUAUAAAUUAUUAAAAAUAAAUUCAUAUAUAUAUAAUUAUAACCAAAUAACUAAAAUAGUUUUCUUAUUAACAAAUCUUAUGGGAAAAAAAUUAAUUCAAUGAGCUACCUCACAAGCUAGUUCUGUCUGGCACACCCUAGCUAUUUCUUCCUUUGAAAUAUUUUUUGUUUGAAUUGUUUAGAUUUAAAUAUAUUUUUAAUUCUUACUAAAAAAAUUUAAUUUUGUCUUUUGUCCCUGUUAAAUUAUUGUUAACUUUUUGGUCCUUAAUAAAAAAAUUUAUUUUAUUUUUUGACUUUGGAUUUAUUUAGAUAGGGCUUUAAAAAUGAAAUAAAAUUAUUUUCAAAGUUAUUUAAGAAAAAACAAAACAAAAAUAUUAUUACAAACCAAAAAGUUAAUGGAAAUUUAUCAGGAAUUAAAGAACAAAAUUUUAAGAUUUAUGAACAACCAAAAAUAUAUUUAAACAGUUUAUAAAACAAAGAGAACAUGAAAAAUCAAUCAUUAUGCUAUUCUCCUUGAACAAGAGUUAUAAUUUCCAUCUAGUACUUCUUUAUUUGUGGAUAUUGAAAUUAUUCGAUGUAACGCCUUUAAAAUAAAUUUCAGAGAGCAACUCAGCCCAUACACUAGAUUGUGUUCUACCUUGACAGUUGAAAAAAAUGCAUUAAAAAGAAGGAUUUGCCGUGAAGGUUCAAGACAAUACAUGCAUGUUUAAUUUUAAAUGAUGAUGAUAUAAACACUAUAAGGUUAUUUGUUAUUUAUUUGAUAAGUUAACUGACUGAAUAUUUAAUUCCACUCCACUACUUGCUAAAACUGACCACCCUCAUCCGAUUCACCGAAGGUUUACAAAAUUCGCUCCGUCAUGUUAUUCCAUUUCUAGUUGGUAUUUUAAAGGGAAAAAAAUGGUUAAAUAAAGAUAUGAAGCAGAAAAAUCAAAUAAAUCAUGUUUGCAGAAAAAUGAGUUCCAAGUCAUGCGUGAGGGAUGGGCUGUUGAAGUCUUGAAGCUUAAUUUAGCCACAAACUUUGCAUAGUGUUUUUAAUUUGGGUAUAAAUAUUAGUGUUUGGUUCCUCAGUAUUUCAUGUAUAUUUUCCCUUAUAGUAAACAGUUUUGAGUAGAAUAUGGAAUCAUGGAUGUGGUGUUUCCUUCUCUGUUCCCAUUUGCUCAUCCUUUAUUUUUCACCCUCUCAUUCCUUAUGCCACCCCCAUGACAACUCUGCCUUGCUCCACUUCAAAAACUCCUUCACUAUUUAUGAAGAUCCUUAUUAUUCUUAUUAUUGUGAUCAUGGUUAUUCAAAGACGACAACAUGGGAAAAUGGGAGAGAUUGUUGCUCUUGGGCUGGAGUCACCUGCCACCCCAUCUCAGGUCACGUCACUGAGCUCGACCUCAGCUGCAGUGGCCUUCACGGCAAUAUCCAUCCAAACAGUACGCUUUUCCAUCUUUCUCAUCUUCACUCACUCAACCUUGCUUUCAAUCAUUUGUAUACAUCUCAUUUGUCAUCUCUCUUUGGUGGGUUUGUGAGCCUCACACAUCUCAACUUGUCUCAUUCUGAAUUUGAAGGGGAUAUUCCUUCCCAAAUCUCUCACCUUUCCAAAUUAGUCUCACUUGAUCUCUCGUACAAUUUGUUAAAGUGAAAGGAAGACACUUGGAAGAGUUUGCUAAAAAAAUGCAACAGUUUUAAAGGUGCUUCUUUUGGAUUUUACAGAUAUGUCUUCCAUUUCAAUCAGGACACUCAAUAUGUCUUCUUCUUUGGUAACUCUUGGUCUUCUAGCAAAUGGGCUAAGCGGAAAGUUGACAGAUGGCAUUCUUUGUUUACCAAAUCUUCAGUACCUAUAUCUUUCAUUUAAUGAGGACCUUCAUGGUCAGCAGCUUCCAGAAAUGAGUUGCAGCACAACUUCUCUUGGUUUCUUAGAUCUUUCAGGUUGUGGUUUCCAAGGGUCAAUCCCUCCCUCUUUCUCUAACCUCACACAUCUUACUUCCCUGGAUCUCUCAGCUAACAACCUCAAUGGUUCAGUCCCAUCCUCACUCUUAACCCUUCCACGGCUAACCUUUCUGAAUCUAAACAAUAACCAACUCAGUGGUCAAAUCCCAAAUAUUUUUCCUAAGUCAAACAACUUUCACGAAUUGCAUUUGAGUUAUAACAACAUAGAGGGUGAGAUCCCAUCAACACUUUCAAAUCUUCAACAUCUCAUUAUCUUGGAUCUGUCACUUUGUGAUUUCCAAGGUUCAAUCCCUCCCUCUUUCUCUAACCUCAUACUUCUUACUUCCCUGGAUCUCUCAUAUAACCACCUCAACGGUUCAGUCCCAUCCUCGCUCUUAACCCUUCCACGGCUAACUUUUCUAAAUCUCAAUGCUAAUUGUCUCAGUGGUCAAAUCCCAAAUGUCUUUCUUCAGUCAAACAACAUUCACGAAUUGGAUUUGAGUAAUAACAAAAUAGAGGGUGAGCUGCCAUCAACACUUUCAAAUCUUCAACGUCUCAUUCUCUUGGAUCUUUCACAUAAUAAAUUUAUUGGUCAAAUCCCAGAUGUGUUUGUCGGGCUAACCAAAUUGAAUAGUCUCAAUCUUUCGGAUAACAAUUUAGGAGGCCCAAUCCCAUCUUCAUUAUUUGGCUUAACACAAUUUUCUUACUUGGAUUGUUCUAAUAAUAAAUUGGAGGGCCCCCUGCCGAACAAAAUAAGAGGGUUUUCAAAUCUAACAUCGUUAAGGUUAUAUGGCAACUUCCUGAAUGGAACAAUUCCUUCUUGGUGUUUAUCUUUGCCAUCUUUGGUGGAUUUAUAUCUAUCAGAAAACCAAUUCUCAGGGCAUAUUAGUGUAAUCUCAUCAUAUUCAUUGGUGAGAUUAUCUUUAUCCCACAACAAGUUACAAGGCAAUAUUCCAGAUACAAUUUUCAGCCUUGUAAACCUUACUGACUUAGAUCUAUCAUCAAACAAUUUAAGCGGAUCUGUCAACUUUCCACUUUUCUCAAAGCUUCAAAAUUUGGAAAGACUUAAUCUUUCACAUAAUAAUCAGUUAUCACUAAAUUUCAAAUCCAAUGUCAAUUAUAGUUUUUCCAGUUUAUGGAGUUUGGACUUAUCUUCUACGGGUUUAACUGAAUUUCCAAAAUUAUCAGGAAAAGUCCCAAUUUUGAAAUUACUCCAUUUGUCCAAUAAUACACUUAAAGGUAGAGUACCAAAUUGGUUGCACGACACGAACUCAUCGUUAUAUUUAUUGGACCUCUCUCAUAACCUAUUGACGCAAUCAUUGGACCAAUUCUCAUGGAACCAACACCUCGUUUACCUUGAUCUUAGUUUUAACUCAAUCACUGCUGGCUCUUCCUCAAUUUGCAAUGCAACUGCAAUUGAGGUUCUCAACUUAUCUCACAACAAGUUGACAGGAACCAUUCCACAAUGCCUUAUUAACUCAUCAACCCUGGAAGUUUUGGAUCUGCAACUGAACAAGCUUCAUGGCCCUUUGCCAAGUACCUUUGCAAAGAACUGUCAGCUCAGAACUCUAGAUCUCAAUGGCAACCAAUUAUUAGAAGGUUUUCUGCCAGAAUCUUUGUCCAAUUGCAUUAAUCUGGAGGUUUUAAAUCUUGGAAACAAUCAAAUAAAGGAUGUGUUUCCCCAUUGGCUUCAAACUCUACCAGAAUUGAAAGUAUUGGUUUUGAGAGCCAACAAGUUGUACGGUCCCAUUGAGGGUUCAAAGACCAAGCAUGGAUUCCCCAGUUUAGUUAUUUUUGAUGUCUCUUCCAACAACUUCAGCGGCUCAAUACCAAAUGCCUACAUAAAAAAAUUUGAAGCCAUGAAGAACGUUGUUCUAUAUCCCGAUUGGCAAUACAUGGAAAUUUCUAUUUCUUUUGCAGAAACCAACUACCAUGAUUCUGUGACUAUAACAACAAAAGCAAUUACUAUGACAAUGGACAGAAUUCGAAAUGACUUUGUAAGCAUUGAUUUAUCCAAAAACAGAUUUGAAGGAGGGAUUCCAAAUGCCAUUGGAGAGCUUCAUUCACUCAGAGGACUCAACCUUUCCCAUAACAGGCUUAUUGGUCCUAUUCCCCAGUCCAUGGGAAAUUUGAGAUACUUAGAAUCAUUGGAUCUCUCCUCAAAUAUGCUCAUUGGUGGGAUACCUACAGAAUUAAGCAAUUUGAACUUUCUUGAAGUCCUAAAUCUUUCCAAUAACCAUCUUGUGGGAGAAAUACCUCGAGGACAACAGUUCAAUACUUUUCCCAAUGAUUCCUACAAGGGAAACUCUGGGUUAUGUGGACUCCCACUGACAAUCAAAUGCAGCAAGGACCCUGAACAACAUUCUCCACCUUCAACUACCUUCAGGAGAGAACCAGGAUUUGGAUUUGGUUGGAAACCAGUGGCUAUAGGAUAUGGAUGUGGAGUGGUCUUUGGAGUGGGAAUGGGAUGUUGUGUAUUGUUAAUAGGAAAGCCUCAAUGGCUUGUGAGAAUGGUCGGAGGUAAACUCAAUAAAAAGGUGAAAAGGAAGACAAGGAUGAGAUCUAAUGAAAAUGGUAGCAGAAUGAAUUAGUUGAUAUAUGGCAUGACUGGAGAAUGUCUUGUUCCAUACCUGCCAUCUUUGAAAACAAAACUUAAGGGCAAGAACUUUAUCACACUGCAUUGCAUGGGAGAUCUGGUUCAAAGUUUUGCUGUAAUAUGAAUGUGUUAUACUUUUGCUUUUUGUGUUCUUUUUUUGUUUGUUAUGUGUAGAAGAGUGCAUGUACUUCAUUUGCCUUGAGCUUGCAGUUUUGAUUUAUUUAAUACGUAUAACUGUAGCAUUAAUUGGUUGUAUAAUAAUAGAUGUUGUAUAUUUUUAAAAAUGAUAUGUAUUGGCCAAUGCUAAAAUAUUUUGUAUCUUAACAGUAUGCAGUUGUCUCAUUUCAUUGAAGGAGCUCAAUUCACGGUUUUAGCUUGUAUUGUAGUCUAUUUACUUAAUUUGCUAAAUUAUCAAACUGUUAUUCAAAAUAAAAUAAGCAUUAGUGACUUUUAUAAUAAUUACCUUAAUGAUUAAAUAUAUUUUUAUUUUCAAUAAAUAGUUGAUUUUUUUGUUUAUUUCCCAAUAAAAAAAAUUAUUUUGAGUACCUUAUAAAAUAAUAAAUUUUUUUGUUUCCCAGAUAUUUUUUUUGUAAUCCCUAAUAAAUUAGCACAUUUUUGUUUACUCCCUCUUAAAUUAACGAAUUUUGUUUUAAUCCUGAUUAAUAAUAAAUAAAAAAAAUUAUUAAGAAAUAAAUAAAUACACAAUUUGUGAAUUUAUCAUGGACUAAGAAAAGUAUCAAGGAUCAAAAUAAAAUGAUUUUUUUAUUUGAAACUCAACGGAAAGUAAAAUUUUAUUAAAAAUUAAAUAUUUAUUAGUUAUUAAAAUUAUAGUUAAAACUUAUCUUAAAGAUUAAAUAUAUUAUAAUUUUUAUUUGGUUCACAACAUAUAAAUAUUUACCAUUGUUAAAAUAUACUAUAAUUUCUCUUAAAUUAUUUUAAUGAAAAUAAAUAGUAAAAUAGUAGGAACUUAAUCUAAGUUACGUUUAGUAAAUAUUGGGUAAAAUUGGUAAGAGUGUGAGAAACUUAAUUAUUUAUCACUACCAAAUAUGUGGAUCAACUAAUGUGGGUUGUUGAGCCAGAGACUCAUGAGAAAAAAUAUUGUCUCAUAGUGAGAAGAAUAAAUCAUAAAAAAUAGAAAAGAUAAUAAAUUUGUUCAAUAUGAUUUAGACCUUCAUCCUUGUAUUAACAAUCUGAUACAUUUUAAGGACAAUUUAGACAAACUUACAAACAUUCUCUUCUAACGAUUCCCCUAUCUUAGUUAGGGUAGUGAUAUUUUCUUCACACUAGAUGUGGUGAUUCUUUUUAUCUCAAAAAAUUUCUAUUUACAGAUCUAACUAAUCUUAAAUGAAUUCAAAUCCAUAAUUUACAAAUAAUAUAUUUAAUUCUAAAUGGUAUCCUAAAAAUAAGAUAAUAUGUUUUUAAAAAUCUAAACAAUAUCCUAUAAAUUUGAUAUUCAUUGAUUGGACCAUCAUUAAUUCCUACAUACCCAACCUCUAUAUAAGUUUUUAUGACAAGUUAGACAAACUUACAAAUAUUUCCUCUACAUGACUCAAUCUCUCUUAGGGUGUUGACCUAGGCUGAGUGAUUAUUCUCAUCUCAUAAAUCUUAUUUUAUAGACAUAACAUCCUAAUCUUAAAUAAGAAAACAAAUAUCUAAGGGUGUGUUAGGUUUGCAUUUUUAUUUUUUAUUUUCAUUUCCUGUUUUUAUUUUCUGAAAACUGUUUUCAUUUUUCAAAUAUUAGAAUUCUAAAAACAUGUUUGGUUUGAUUUUUUGUUUUAUGUUCUCAGGAAAUAAAAACACUGAAAAUUUAUGAUAUAUUAACUUCUUGUUUUUUUUUGUAUUUUUAGAUUUGCUUAAAAUUACAUUCUUUGCCAUUACGUUUUUAUUUUAUCCAAAAUAAGGGUCCUGUUUUAACUGAAAACGAGAUGUUAUUGUUUUCAUUUUCUGGUUGUUUCCUAUUUUCAUUUUCACUCAAAAUGUUUUUAAAAAUCGAAUCAAACACAUCUUCAUCAUUAUUUUCUGUUUUCAGUGAAAAUGAAAACAAAAAACAACCAAAUCAAACACCUCCUAAUUUAUUAAUAAUAUAUUUAAUUUUAACAACAUUCUAAAAAUAAGAUAAUAUUUUGGUUAAGAAAACAAUAUCUGACAAAUUUGAGAAUACAAAUUUAAAUUAUUUCCUAAUAAAGUCAUCGAUAUGUAGUUAAAUACUUAGAAAAAGAGUUUCAUCAUCCAUAAUAAUCAUAUUGACUCAAACAAGAUUAUCUUCAAUCAAAUAUACCUAUCUACGGAAGAAAGACCUAUGUAAGAUAAAUCUAACAUGAAGCCAAGUUGGACUUAUGUAGAUCAAUUAACCAACUAAUCCCUAUGCCCACUCAUCACCUAAGCUCAACCAAACUCGCUUAAGCCCCAACCCUGCAUCGCUUAAGCUCUUAGCCAACACCACUUAAGCUACAUCAAAAAACAUGUUAGUUUUUGUGCCCAUUCUAGCUUAAGCGCUACCCAACACCACUUAAGCUACUUCAAACUAAUUUACUCAAAUUAAAAAAAUAAUAAUGAUUCUACUAUUUAAUCACUACACAUUAAAUACCUAAUUUAUUAUCCGCUUAUCAAGCAACUGGUCCAUUUAUCUUUUUUAUUUGUUUAUUACAUGUAAUUUUUAUUUCUUUUAUUUUUUAAAAUCUAAAAUUUUGAUCUCUAUUUUAAAAUAAAGAUAUUUAGUCUAUUAUUUUUUACAAUCUAAAAUUUUAGUUUUCUAAUUUAAAAUAGAAAUAUUAGUCUUUUAUAUUUAUAAAAUAUGUAAUUUUAGUUAUCCCAACUAAAAGCAUUGUCUGCUAAGAGCUUAAUUUUAAUUAUGAUACAGAUUAAAUAAAUUAUCUUGUAUCACAUUAUUAAAUUUGAAUCACAUUAAGUUAGCUUCUUAUUAAUUAACGCUAAAUGAUUAUGUGGAUAUAGGCAUACGGAUGAUUAAAAUGAUGAAUUUUAUAAAAUUAAGUAAUUAUAUGUUUUUAUUUUAAAAUAGAAGUAUUACAAUUGUAAAAUAUAAAAAUUAAGAAGAUUAAAUAUUUUUUAAAAUAUAGAUAUUAAAAUUAAAUAUUUUGAAAAUAGGAAAAAAAAUAUAUUUAAGUUUUCUUUUACCGGAGGUCCAUAUGUCCAGUACUUAGAAAUCUCGUCAUGAUAAAAAUGCGUCACUAGAGCAUAAUAUAAUAGCAUGAAGAACGUCAUUAUAAUUACAUUUAAGCCAUGAAGAACGUUGUUAUAUAUGCCAAUCCGCAAUACAUGGAAACUUCUGUUAUUGUUAGUGACACCAACAACAUUGAUCAUGAAACCAACUACGCUGAUUCUGUGACUGUAACAACAAAAGCAAUUACUAUAUGAAAAUGGAUAAAAUUUGAGAUGACUUUGUAAGCAUUGAUUUAUCGCACAACAAAUUUGAAGGAGAGAUUCCAAAUGCCAUUGGAGAGCUUCAUUCACUCAGAGGGCUAAACCUUUCCCAUAGCAGGCUUAUUGGUCCUAUUCCCCCAUCCAUGUGAAAUUUGACAAAUUUAGAAUCAUUGGAUCUCUCCUCAAGUAUGCUCACUGGCGGGAUACCUAGAGAAUUAAGCAAUUUGGACUUUCUUGAAGUCCUAAAUCUUUCCAAUAACCAUCAUGUGGGAGAAAUACCUCAAGGAAAACAGUUCAGCAGUACUUUUUCCAAUGACUCCUAUGAUAGAAACUUGGGGUUAUGUGGACUCCCAUUGACAGCAGAAUGAAGCAAGGACCUUGAACAACAUUCUCCACCUUCACUAACCUUUGGGGGAGAACAGGGAUUUGGAUUUGGUAGAAAGCAGUGGCUAUAAUGCGGAAUGGUCUUUGGAAGGGGAAUGGGAUGUUGUGUAUUGUUAAUGGGAAAGCCUCAAUGGCUUGUGAGAAUGGUUGGAGGUCAACUCAAUAAAAAGGUGAAAUGGAAGACAAGGAUGAGAUCUAAUGAAAAUGGUAGCAGAACGAAUUAGUUGACAUGUGGCAUGACUGUAGAAUGUCUUCUUGCUCACCUUCCCGUUGAAAUUCAAUUCUGUCUUGUUGGAAAACAAAACUUAAGGGCAAGAACCUUAUCACACUGCAUUGCAUAUGCAUGGGACAUCUGAUUCAAAGUUUAGUUGUAAUUGUAAUAUGGUGUUGUACUUUUUUUUCUUUGUGUUCGAUAGAUGAGUGUGAUAUACUUUUUUUUUUACUUCCAUUGCCCCAGAAACUCGGGUCUGAAUCAUCCAUAAGUUUGAUAAUUUUUCUGUUCAUUAAUACGCUUAGAUUGUUUUAUUUUUUUUAACUUUUUUAUAUUGGUGAAUAGUAUCAAGUUAAGUAGUGAAUAAUGUGUUGACAAUCAACAAUCAUUUCACUAAUAUGCUGCAUAUUACAAAAUUGUAGCAGUCAUUAAUACCAAUUUGCAUUAUCGACGCUAUUUUGUUCCCAUUGCUGUUGUGGAAGUACUUUUGCUCCAGACAAGGAAUGGAAAUUGACCAGGAAUUUUGUUUUUUUGUGCCAUCGAUUGAGUUUGUAUAAGUGAAGAUAUGUUGAUCUUCUGACCACCUUUUUUUUCGAAAUUAUAAUAAUUACUAGUUCGCUAUCUAAAUUCAUGGGAAAUUGAAAAUUGAUUCCCACGAAACUGUAUUCUUGUUCUACAUUACACUUCUCAGGUGUUCUUAGAAGUCCUCUUCCUACUGGUAAGCCAUAUCAUAUUCACUCUCCCUUGAAUUCUGAUUUUUACUUAUAAAUAAGUUAAUGUCUAAGAGCAGGGUUGAAUGAGCGUAAAAAUUAGUUUGUAUGCUUUAAAUUAAUAUUAAGCAUUGUGUUACUUCUAUGAUUGAGACAGCUAAUAGAGGAUGGGGUUGGAUUUUUGAAAUAAGGGGCGCAGAUACAAGUCUAGAUCCUCUUUAGUUUGUGAACUAAAAUUUUUGUUUUGGUUUUGCCUAUCUCUUAAGCUAUUAAAAUUAUUCUAGAAUCCACCUAAAGUUUUUUAUUCAAAAAUAAGUGUUGGAGUCUUAAGAUAAUGAUAUCAUUAAGAUAAUGAUAUCAAGUUUAUUUAUGUAAUUUGUUUUUGGUGACUUAUUGCAGAAAAUCUUCUUGAUAUUUACUUUCUUGGAUUUUUCAAAAAAUUGAUAUUAGAGUCAAUCUUCGACAUAGUGACCGGUUUAGACAAGGAAGAUGACGUCGAUGAAUUUAUGGAUAUAAAGUUUAUUGUAUCAAAAGUCUUUCUGUCACCUGAAUUCAUGCAUAAAUGUCACGUAACAGAGUUGUAGGUGUUAUGUACAAUAAUGCAAGAUACUAAAACAUGUUAUGACAAUGGCUAGAAGAGCUAGAGACACUAAAAAUUAAGUUUCAUGAGUCACUAUUAAAUAUUCUUAGAUUGAAAAUGACUUUCGGUCUUGACUUGAGAGCCUUUUUCUUAGUUUACACCUGGCUGUGCCAUUAACAAUUGAUAAUGCUGUCUAGCAAGCUAUAUUGUGAAGAUAAAUACUUCUCUUCAUAUUUGUCCAUUUUACAUAUUUCCUGGUGUCAAAAUAUUAUUUUUAUUGUAUUUUUAUAUCCUUUAAAAUAAAUUUGCUUUUGGAGUUUUCUCUUGGACGAGAUACCAUUCAAAGAAUUUCACAUAAUGUAAAUGCACGGGGUUCUUUUUUAAUUUUGAUUUUGUGGCAUUUAUCUCUAUAUUUGGUUGAUAUAUUUGAAACUUGAUAGCGCGAUUAGCUGAUGUAUCAGUCAACGGACCCUAGUAUGGAAAAAGAAUACGGUGAAGACAGAAUUUUUCCACAAACUAAUGUAUCAGCGUGAGUUUCCUUUAAUUUUCUUUUGAUUUAAAUAUUUUUGUGGACGUGUUUUAAUUUUCAUUUUUUGAUGUGAUUGGCGAGCUUAAUUUUCUAACCCAUAUUUUAAGGGUUGGCAGACUUGGAAAUCAACGCUUGGAUUUAAUUGAACUGGCUGUUUAUACAUGUUUUGUUUUUAGAAUCAUAUCACAUAUAUGUAGUCUGUUGGUGAAAGUAUAUAGUGGCAGCUUAUGUUUUGGGCAGAAAUUGUUUCCUCAAACUUUCAUGUGAUAAGACAAAUUAACUUCUGAAUUUUCACAAUAAUAUUCUUCUAUGCUAUCAUAAGAAGAAGAAAAAACCACCAAUAACUUGUAGAUGCAUGUUCUCUUAAACAGGUGGUAUUCUUCUAGACCCAAAAAAAAAGGUGGUAUUCUCUGUGUUCAAUUAUAUCUUUUGGCUGGGAUCUUCCUUUUUCAUAUGUUGGGGUUUAAAAUAUUUAAUAGGGAUUAAUUAACAGGAACAUAUCCAGAAAAUAAUAACAAGCUUAAACAUACAAAAUUAUGUUAAUUAAUAAAUUUCAUCACUAUAUAUUUUAUAUAAAAAAAUUAAUUAACCUGUAUAUAUAAUUUUUUAAAGAAAAAUAUGAGAGGGAAACCAUUCUUGUUUCAUUUGAUACUGCCAUGUUAAUCAAUCAUGUCUAAUAAAUAUUUUCUCCGAUUUCUAUUAUAAAAAAAUUAUUUCAUAUUUAUUAAAAAAUUAAUUACUUUUAUUAAAUUGUAUUAAUAUUAAAAUAUUUUUUUUCUAAAUUAUUCUUCACUAAAAGUUGAUAUGAAGCAUAAAAAUAUCCAGCCUUAUAUAUAUUGUAGGCCAACACACAUUUCAUUUGCUUUUCUUUAUGAAAAAAGUUAAAUUAAUAGAGGAUGGGAUUGCAUUUUGGAAAUAAAGGGCUCACAUACAAGUACCUAGGUACAGUUUAGUUUGUGGCCUUAAACUCUGUUUUGGUUUUACCUUUCCUCUUGUGCUAUUAAAAUUCUUCUAGCAUCCGUUCACAAGUUUUUUAUUCAAAAGUAUUUGACGUACUGUUAGUUUAGUUGUUGAGAGUCUUUUUGUACUCCAGAAUUAACUAUGCCAUUGACAAUGGAUAAUUCUGUCAAGCAUGCUAUAUUGUUAAGAAAAAUACUUCUCUCCUAGUUUGUUCAAUUUUACAAAUAUACGUAUAUCAAAUUUUGAUGGUGGUCUCAUUUUUUUGCCUCUAUUCCUUAUCUGCUUCCCUCACUUGGAAAAGUAAAAUGGUAUCAACAUAUUUUUUUUAUUGUAUUUUUAUAUUCUUUUGAAAUAAAUUUACUUUAGAGGAGUGUUUGGACCAGAUACCAUACAAACCAAUUAAAAAAUUUAAAUGCACGGUGUCUUUUUUAAUUUUUAUUUUGUGGCAUUUUUCCUCUAUAUUUGAUUGGUAUUUUUGAAACAUGAUUGCGAUUAGCUGAUGUAUAAAGUCAACGAACCCUAGUGUGGAAAAAUAAUACGGUGAAGACAGUUUUUCAACAACUAAUUUUAUCAGCCAGAGUUUCCUUUAAUCUUCUUUUGAUGUGAUUAGAGUGUCUAAUUUUCUAACCCAUAUUUUAAAGGUUGGAAGACUCGGAAAACAACUGUUUGGUUCAACUAGGAUUGAUUAUAUAUAUAAAACUCUGUGAAUUGAAUAAUAGUUGGGGGCGGGACCUAGGAUUUAUCUAGACAUAGCUUUCCAACUCUUAACAGCUAAAACUUCUAGACACAACCCCAAUUAGAAGAUCAACAGUACAUACACCUCAACUCAUGAAAAAAACCUCUAUAUUCCAUAGAUAAACUUAAAUUUCUCAAUUUAGGAUAUCUACAGUCCUAUACAACUGAUCAAGCGUACUCUCUAUCAAUUAAUGGAAUGUUGAGUAAUUUGAUCAAAUGAAGUUUCCAAUACAGGGUACCUCUUGCCCUUCAGUUUAGAGGUCUAAGCCAAUCACUUUAGGUAGGAUUUAAUCAAACCAUGACUUAAUUCAAUUAUAUUUUAAUGGAUUAAUUUGGGUCAACGGACGUAAUAAUUUAAUUUUUUUUUCUUUUUUAAAACCUAAUAUUUUGUAGAAAUUAAAUUUUUUAUUAAAUAAAUUAAAUAUAAUUAUUUCUUAUUAUAUUUUAUUAAAAAGAAAUUUUUGUGAUGUGACCGCAUCUUACUCCGCUAACUCCUAUUUAUCCAAAGGAAUUGGGAAAUUAAGUGUAUCAUAUCACAAGCUCUUUUUAAGGUUUAGCUUUAUUGGAAGAUCUUAUAAAUAGGAGAAAAAGUAAACUAUGCUGGAAAAAAAUGUUAAGCAAUGAAGUAGACAUUAAAGAAAAACAAAAAGAAAUAUUGAAUAGAAUUGUAUUGUUUAUAAUUUUUUACGUUAUCUUACUGUUUCUACUUUCUGCAAUACUUUUAUUUUAAUUUUUUAUUUAAUGUCUAAGAGUACCCGUAGUUGACAAGACACUUCUUGUAAACAAGAAGUCAUAUAAUAGAUAACUAGAAUAAGUUGAAUUUGGAUAAUAAUUUGAGUAUUCUCUGUCAUUGUGAGAGUUGUUCUUCUUUAAUAACUUUGAUUUUAUUAACAUAUUGCGAUUAUGAUCAAAUUCUACUUGUUCACUUUGCAUGAAUUUAACAUGAUCCUAUAAAUCGAUUCGUAUUAUUGUUUAUCAGACAAUAUAAUUAAUUGUUAGUACAGUGACCUGUGAGCACAUCUAUUUGUAUACAUAUGGUAUAGAUAAACUAUUGGUUUUUUCAAUUUGAGAACAAAUCUCCUAAUAUAAUUUUUGUUCAUUUCUAAUAUUUUACAAAAAUAUUGAUGUAACCGUAUUGUCAUCUCUAUUUUAAAUUUGGCAAUAACACAUCAAACUAAAUUAAAUAAAAUCGAAUUUCAAAUUUGGGAAUAACACAUUAUCUAAUAAUGACCUCCAAAUCAAUUUCGAUGACAAUGGUGUAACAACCUUAAUUAAUAACUUCUUUGACAUAUCUGCGUUCCUUCUUUGCAUAAAUUAACUUCCAAGUCAAUGCAAAACGUUUUGCAUGGGGUAGAAAAUGGGAAACUUUUUGGGAUACAAAUACCAAUUAUAUAUGUAAGUUCUAAAAGAUAGAAACUAUAUAACUCUAUUACUAUAAUAAAGAUCCAUUCUUUUUUAAUUGACAAAUUAUUUAGUUUAUUAAUUUUAUUUAUUCAAAUUAAUUUAUUCAAUGCUAUUUAAUUUCAGUCAACAAAUUGCUAUUUAAUUUAUUCAUCAAUACUCACUCACUUGCUAAAACUUAUUAUCCGUCUUCACUGAAGUCUAAAGGUUUACAAAUUAGAAAAUGCAUUUUAAAGAGAAAAAUUAAAACGAUAAAAUAGAUAUAUGAAGUAGAAAAAUCAAAUAAAUCAUGUUUGCAAAGAGUUCCUAGAGAUAAUAUAAUGAAAGGGUUGAGAAAUGAAUGUUGAUUUGCAUGAGGGAUGGGUUGUUGUAGUGUAUACUCCUUGCGUGUUAACAAAAUUAAUUUUAAAUGUAAUUGAUUUUGUAAAAUUGAUUUUGAAGUAAUUAAUGUUUGUAUGUUUUAUUAUAAAAUUAAAUUAACAAUAAAAUUUGUUAUAAAAUUUUAGAUUCAAUACAGAAAUUGUUUAAAACAUAUAAAAAUAUAUUUAAAAUUAAUUAUAGAUUCAAAAUCAAUUUUUCAUCGUGAAUCAAACAAUAAAAAGUCUCAAAAUGGUUGAUGAAGGAUAAUUUUUUUAAAAAAUUUAUCAUUUGGAGAUAAAAUUUAAGUUGAUAUUCCAAAAGGAAUAAGUCUUAAUAAAUAAUGCAACUUCUAAAUUAAAAAUAGUGAAAUUUGUUAUAACUUUUUUUUAUUUUUUACAUUAAAGUCAUAAGAAAUUUUAUGGACUUCAUUUUUAUUUUUUAAAUACGUCUAAAAUUUAAUUCUCAUAGACAUUAAAGUCAUAAUUUUUUUUAUUGAAUUCGUAAAUUAUUUUAUGACUUUAAUUUAUUUUGCAUCUGAUAUAUUUUUUAAAAUUAUAAAUAAUUUUUAUUUUGGUUAUUUAAUAAAUUAAUGAUUUUAGUUUUAUUUAAUAUUUUGGUUAUUUUGCUAAAACCACCCUCAUCCGAUUCACCAAAGGUUUACAAAAUUCGCUCCGUCAUGUUGUUUCAUUGCUAGUUGGUAUUUUAAAGGGAAAACAUGGUUAAACAAAGAUAUGAAGUAGAAAAAUAAAAUAAAUCAUGUUUGCAGAAAAAAUGAGUUCCAAGUCAAGUCAAUUUAAAUAGCAAUUGCUGGGACAACUUUGAUAGCGUGUAAAAGGAUCAUAAGAUUUAUGGUCAAUUUGCGUGAGGUUUGGGCUGUUGAAGACUUGAAGCUUAAUUUAGCCACAAAUUUUGCAUAUCAUCUUUUAAAUUUGGCUAUAAAUAUUAAUGUUUGGUUGCUCAGUAUUAAUUUCAUGUAUAUUUGAGUAGAAAAUGGAAUCAUGGAUGUGGUGUUUCCUUCUCUGUUCCCAUUUGCUCAUCCUUUAUUUUUCACCCUCUCAUUCCUUAUGCCACCCCCAUGACACCUCUGCCUUGCUCCACUUCAAAAACUCCUUCACUAUUUAUGAAGAUCCUUAUUAUUCUUAUUAUUGUGAUCAUGGUUAUUCAAAGACGACAACAUGGGAAAAUGGGACAGAUUGUUGCUCUUGGGCUGGAGUCAGCUGCAACCCCAUCUCAGGUCACGUCACUGAGCUCGACCUCAGCUGCAGUCGCCUUUACGGCAAUAUCCAUCCAAACAGUACGCUUUUCCAUCUUUCUCAUCUUCACUCACUCAACCUUGCUUUCAAUGAUUUUAAUUAUUCUCAUUUGUCAUCUCUCUUUGGUGGGUUUGUGAGCCUCACUCAUCUCAACUUGUCUAAUUCUCACUUUGAAGGGGAUAUUCCUUCCCAAAUCUCUCACCUUUCCAAAUUAGUCUCACUUGAUCUCUCUGGUAAUAAUUUGUUAAAGUGGAAGGAAGACACUUGGAAGAGAUUGCUCCAAAAUGCAACAGUUUUAAGGGUGCUUGUUUUGGAUCAAACAGAUAUGUCUUCCAUUUCAAUCAGGACACUCAAUAUGUCUUCCUCUUUGGUUACUCUUAGUCUAGGACUGACUUGGCUAAGAGGAAACUUGACAGAUGGCAUUCUCUGUUUACCAAAUCUUCAGCACUUGGAUCUUUCACUUAAUCGGGCCCUUGAAGGUAAGCUUCCAGAAGUGAGUUGCAGAACAACUUCUCUUGAUUUCUUAGAUCUUUCACUUUGUGGUUUCCAAGGGUCAAUCCCUCCCUCUUUCUCCAACCUCAUACAUCUCACUUCCCUGGACCUCUCAGGUAACAACCUCAACGGUUCAAUCCCUCCCUCUUUCUCCAACCUCAUACAUCUUACUUCCUUGGAUCUCUCAUAUAACAACCUCAACGGUUCAAUCCCAUCCUCACUCUUAACCCUUCCAUGGCUAAACUUUCUGUAUCUAAACUAUAACCAACUCAGUGGUCAAAUCCCAGAUGCCUUUCCUCAGUCAAACAGCUUUCACGAAUUGCAUUUGAGUGAUAACAAAAUAGAGGGUGAGCUGCCUUCAACACUUUCAAAUCUUCAACAUCUCAUUCACUUGGAUCUUUCACAUAAUAAAUUGGAGGGCCCUCUGCCUAACAAUAUAACAGGGUUUUCAAACCUAACAUCGUUAUGGUUAUCUGGAAACUUACUGAAUGGGACAAUUCCUUCUUGGUGUUUAUCUUUGCCAUCUUUGGUGGAUUUAGAUCUAUCAGGCAACCAACUCUCUGGGCAUAUUAGUGCAAUCUCAUCAUAUUCCUUGGAGACAUUGUUUUUAUCCCACAACAAGUUACAAGGCAAUAUUCCAGAAUCAAUUUUUAGCCUUCUAAACCUUACUCACUUAGAUCUAUCAUCAAACAAUUUAAGUGGAUCUGUCAAAUUUCAUCGUUUCUCCAAGCUUCAAAAUUUGGAAAAACUUCACCUUUCAUGGAAUGAUCAGUUAUCACUAAAUUUCGAAUCCAAUGUCAAUUAUAGUUUCUCUAAUUUAAAGUUGUUGAACUUAUCUUCUAUGGUUUUAACUGAAUUUCCAAAAUUAUCGGGAAAAGUCCCAAUUUUAGAAUCACUCUAUUUGUCCAAUAACAAACUUAAAGGUAGAGUGCCACAUUGGUUGCAUGAAGUAUCGUUAUCUGAAUUGAACCUUUCUCAUAACCUAUUGACGCAAUCAUUGGACCAAUUCUCAUGGAACCAACAACUCGGUUACCUUGAUCUUAGUUUUAACUCAAUCACUGGUGACUUCUCUUCCUCAAUUUGCAAUGCAAGUGCAAUUGAGAUUCUCAACUUGUCUCACAACAAGUUGACAGGAACCAUUCCACAAUGCCUUGCAAACUCAUCAUCCCUUCUAGUUUUGGAUCUACAACUGAACAAGCUUCAUGGCACUUUGCCAAGUAUCUUUUCAAAGGACUGUCGGCUCAGAACUCUGGAUCUCAAUGGCAACCAACUAUUAGAAGGUCUUUUGCCAGAAUCUUUGUCCAAUUGCAUUGAUCUGGAGGUUUUAGAUCUUGGAAACAAUCAAAUAAAGGAUGUGUUUCCCCAUUGGCUUCAAACUCUACCAGAAUUGAAAGUAUUGGUUUUGCGAGCCAACAAGUUGUACGGUCCCAUUGUCGGUUUAAAGAUCAAGCAUGGAUUCCCCCGUUUAGUCAUCUUUGAUGUCUCUUUCAACAACUUCAGCGGCCCAAUACCAAAAGCCUACAUACAAAAAUUUGAAGCGAUGAAGAACGUUGUUAUAGAUACCGAUCUGCAGUACAUGGAAAUUUCUAUUGGAGCUAAAAAGAUGUACAGUGAUUCUGUGACUAUAACAACAAAAGCAAUUACUAUGACAAUGGACAAAAUUCCAAAAGGCUUUGUCAGCAUUGAUUUAUCAAAAAACGGAUUUGAAGGAGAGAUUCCAAAUGCCAUUGGAGAGCUUCAUGCCCUCAGAGGGCUCAACCUUUCCCAUAACAGAAUUAUUGGUCCUAUUCCCCAAUCCAUGGGAAAUUUGACAAACUUAGAAUCAUUGGAUCUCUCCUCAAAUAUGCUCACUGGUGGGAUACCUACGGAAUUAAGCAAUUUGAACUUCCUUGAAGUCCUAAAUCUUUCCAAUAACCAUCUUGCGGGAGAAAUACCUCGAGGACAACAGUUCAGUACUUUUACCAAUGAUUCCUAUGAGGGAAACUCAGGGUUAUGUGGACUCCCACUGACAAUCAAAUGCAGCAAGGACCCUGAACAACAUUCUCCAACUUCAACUACCUUGAGGAGAGAAGGAGGAUUUGGAUUUGGUUGGAAACCAGUGGCUAUAGGAUAUGGAUGUGGAAUGGUCUUUGGAGUGGGAAUGGGAUGUUGUGUAUUGUUAAUAGGAAAGCCUCAAUGGCUUGUGAGAAUGGUCGGAGGUAAACCCAAUAAAAAGGUGAAAAGGAAGACAAGGAUGAGAUCUAAUGAAAAUGGUAGCAGAAUGAAUUAGUUGAUAUAUGGCAUGACUGGAGAAUGUCUUGUUACAUACCUGCCAUCUUUGAAAACAAAACUUAAGGGCAAGAACUUUAUCACACUGCAUUGCAUGGGAGAUCUGGUUCAAAGUUUUGCUGUAAUAUGAAUGUGUUAUACUCUUGCUUUUGUCGUAUAACUGUGGCAUUAAUUGGUUGUAUAAUAAUAGAUGUUGUAUAUUUUUAAAAAUGGUAUGUAUUGGCCAAUGCUAAAAUAUUUUGUAUCUUAAUUCAAGGAGCUGAAUUCACGGUUUUAGCUUCCAUUGUAGUCUAUUUAAUUAAUUUUCUAAGUAUUUAACCACCGUGAAAUGGCUUUAGAAGCUGAGGUUGAGGUCCAGGUAUAAGAGCACAAACAAUGCAUACUAAAGGAUGGCUAUGGGUAUAGCCUAGGCCUUAUGGUCCGUAGGAUAUCACAUAUUUAUUUUUUAUUAAGUAAUUUUUCCCAAAUUAGAACAAUUGUCUGGUGAAAAUUUUCAAACUUUGAAAUAAAAGUUGCAGUACUAAAAUCAGUUAUAAUUAAACCUAAACUUUUUCUUUUUCAAUUACUAUUACGAUAAAUUGGUAGUGGUACGUGCUGUAAAUAUUACAUCUACUUAUAAUGUCAGCACCCAAAAAUUAUUUUUAUAAUGUAAAAUUUACAUUGUCAUUAAUUUGCUUUAUUAAUUUUUAUUAUAACUAUUUUAAAUUUAUAUUAUUAUCAUAAAAUCUGAAAAAUCGUAUCUAUAAUUUUUAAUUAAGCGUAAAAUUUUGUAACUUUUAUAAAUUUUAGUAAAUAUUAAAAAAAUAUAUAAUAUAAUGCUAGUAUUUUUCAAAAAAAUCAACAUUAUCAUUAAAUAAACCUGUGUGUUGUACAAUAAUUCCCUUUUAUCAUUCAAAAGAAAAAUUGAAACUGUUAUUCAAAAUAAAAUAACCAUUAGUGAAUUUUAUGAUAAUUACCUUAAUGAUUAAAUAUAUUUAGUUAAUUUUUUUUGCUCCCUAAUAAAUUUUUGUUUUGUUUUGAGUAUUAUAUAAAACAAUAAUUUUAUUUUUGGUCCUAGAUAUUUUGUUGUAUAUAAUCCCUAAUAAGUUAGCAAAUUUUUGUUUACUUCCUUUUAAAUUAACAAAUUUUGUUUUAGUCCCAACUAAUAACAAAUGAAAAAAAUUAUCAAGAAAUAAACACACAAUUUGUGAAUCUAUCAGGGACUAAGAAAAGUAUCAAGAACCAAAAUAAAAUGAUUUUUUUAUUAGAAACUCAACGAAAAGUAAAAAUUUAUUAAAAAUUAAAUACAAAAAAUAAAUAUUUAUUAGGGAUUAAAAUUAUAAUUAAAACUUGUCUUAAAUAUUAAAUCUAUUAUAAUUAUUAAUUGGUUCACAACAUAUAAAUAUUUACACUUGUUAAAAUAUACUAUAAUUUCUCUUAAAUUAUUAGGUAAAAUUGGUAAGAGUGUGAGAAACUUAAUUAUUUAUCAAUACCAGCUAUGUGAAUGAACUAAUGUGAGUUUUUGAGCUAGAGACUCUUGGGAAAAAAAUAUUGUCUCAUAAUGAGAAGAAUACAUCAUAAAAAAAUAGAAAAUAUAAAAAUUUGUUUAAUAUGUUUCAACCCUCAUCCUUGCAUUGACAAUAUUAUACAUUUUAAGGAUAACAUAGAAAAAUUUACAAACAUUUUCUCCUUACGAUUUCCCCUCUGUUUGUUAGGGUAGUGACAGUUUCUUCGCACUAGAUGUGGUGAUUCUUCUCAUCUCAAAAAAUCUCUAUUUAUAAACCUAACAUUCUAAUAUUAACUGAAUUCAAAUCCUUAAUUUAUAAAUAAUAUAUUUAAUUCUAAAUGAUAUCCUAAAAAUAAGAUAAUAUCUUUUUUAAAAGCUAAACAAUAUCCUAUAGAUUUGUUAUUCAUUGAUUGAACCAUCAUUAAUUCCUACAUCCACAACUUUUAUAUAAGAUUUUAUGACAAGCAAGACAAACUUGCAAACCUUCCCUUGAUAUGACUCAUCUCUCUUAGGGUAUUGACCUAGGUUGAGUGAUUAUUCUUAUCUCAUAAAUCUUAUUUUAUAGACAUAACAUUCUAAUCUUAAAUGAGGAAACAAAUACCUAAUUUAUUAAUAAUAUAUUUAAUUUUAUCAACAUUCUAAAAAUAAGAUAAUAUCUUUUUUUAAGAAAAUAAAUAUCUUAUAGAUUUGAGAAUACAAAUAAGAUAUAUCUAACAAGAAGCAAAGUUGGACUUAUGUAGAUCAACCAACUAAUCCCUAUACCCACUCAUCACCUAAGCUCAGCCAAAACUCGCUUAGGCCUCAACCCUGCAUCGCUUAAGCUCUUAGCCAACACCACUUAAGCUACAUAAAAAAACAUGCUAAUUUUUGUGCCCAUUCUAGCUUAAGCGCUACCCAACACCAUUUAAGCUACUUCAAACUAAUUUACUCAAAUUAAAAAGAAUAAUGAUUCAACUAUUUAAUCACUACACAUUAAAUACCUAAUUUAUUUUCCGCACAUCACGCAACUGGUCCAUUUAUCUUUUUUAUUUAUUUCUUACAUGUAAUUUUCUUUUUAUUUUUUAAAAUCCAAAAUUUUCAUCUCUAUUUUAAAAUAAAGAUAUUUAAUCGAUUGUUUUUUACGAUCUAUAAUUUUAAUUUUCUAUUUUAAAAUAGAAAUAUUAGUCAUUUAUAUUUAUAAAAUAUGGAAUUUUAGUUAUCCCCAACUAAAAGCUUUGAUUGUUAAGAGCUUAAUCUUUAUUAUGAUAUAGAUUAACUAAAUUAUCUUGUGUCACAUUAUUAGAUUUGAAUCACAUCAAGUUAGCUUCUUACUAAUCAACGCUAAAUGAUUAUGUGGAUAUAAUCACAAAUGAUCAAAAUUAUAAAUUUUAUAACCUUAAGUAAUUAAUUGUUUUUAUUUUAAAAUAGAAGUAUUAAAAUUGUAAAAUAUAAAAAUUAAGACGGUCAAAUAUUUUUUAAAAUAUAGAAAUCAAAAUUAGAUAUUUUGAAAAUAGGAAAAAAUUACAUUUAAGUUUUUAUUUUUAUUUUUUACCGGAGGUCCAUAUGUCUAGUACUUAGAAAUCACGUCAUUAUAAAAAUGCGCCACUAGAGCAUAAUAUAAUAGCAUGAAGGACGUCAUUAUAAUUACAUUUAAGCCAUGAAGAACGUUGUUAUAUAUGCCAAUCCGCAAUACAUGGAAACUUCUGUUAUGGUUAGUGACACCAACAACACUGAUCAUGAAACCAACUACGCUGAUUCUGUGACUGUAACAAAAAAAAACAAUUACUAUGAAAAUGGACAAAAUUCGAAAUGACUUUGUAAGCAUUGCACAACAGAUUUGUAGGAGAGAUAUUCCAAAUGCCAUUGGAGAGCUUCACUCACUCAGAGGGCUAAACCUUUCCCAUAACAGAUUUAUUGGUCCUAUUCUACAAUCCAUUGGAAAUUUGACAAAGUUAGAAUCAUUGGAUCUCUCCUCAAAUAUGCUCACUGGCGGGAUACCUAGAGAAUUAAGCAAUUUGAACUUUCUUGAAGUCCAAAAUCUUUCCAAUAACCAUCUUGCAUUUGUGGGAGAAAUACCUCAAGGAAAACAGUUCAGUACUUUUUCCAAUGACUCCUAUGGUAGAAACUUGGGGUUGUGUGGACUCCCAUUGACAGCAGAAUGCAGCAAGGACCUUGAACAACAUUCUCCACCUUCACUAACCGUUGGGGGAGAACAGGGAGUUGGAUUUGGUUGGAAACCAGUGGCUAUGUGAUAUGGAUGCGGAAUGGUCUUUGGAGUGGGAAUGGGAUGUUGUGUAUUGUUAAUAGGAAAGCCUCAAUGGCUUGUGAGAAUGGUUGGAGGUCAACUCAAUAAAAAGGUGAAAAGGAAGACAAGGAUGAGAUCUAAUGAAAAUGGUAGCAGAAUGAAUUAGUUGAUAUGUGGCAUGACUGUAGAAUGUUUUCUUGCUCACCUUCCUGUUGAAAUUCAAUUCUGCCUUGUUGGAAAACAAAACUUAAGGGCAAGAACUUUAUCACACUGCAUUGCAUAUGCAUGGGAGAUCUGAUUCAAAGUUUAGUUGUAAUUGUAAUAUGGUGUUGUACUUUUUUUUCUUUGUGUUCAAUAAAUGAGUGUGAUAUACUUUUUUUUUUCUUCCAUUGCCCCAGAAACUCGGGUCUGAAUCAUCCAAAAGUUUGAUAAUUUUUCUGUUCAUUAAUACGCUUAGAUUGUUUUAUUUUUUUUAACAUUUUUAUAUCGGUGAAUUGUAUCAAGUUAAGUAGUGAAUAAUGUGUUGACAAUCAACAAUCAUUUCGUUAAUAUGCUGCAGAUUACAAAAUUGUAGCAGUCAUUAAUAGGCAAAUAUUGACCUGGGGGGAUUUCUUUUAGAAACUAAUUUCCAACCAUUUUGAAACAUCUACAGUUUUUUUAUUAUAAAAUAAGUGUUGGAUUCUUAAAAUAUGAUGUCAAGUUUCCUUAUAUAAUUUAUUUGGUGACCUAUUGCGGAUAAUCUCCCUGGCAUUUACUACUCUCUUGGAUUUUUCAAAAAAUUGAUAUUAGAACCAAUGGUUCGAUUUGAUGACUAGCUUAGACAAGUAAGAUGACAUCGAUGAAUUCAUGGAUAUAGAGUCCUUUGUAUCAAAAGUCUUUUUGACAGGUGAAUUCAUGCAUGAAUGUCAGGUAGCAGAGUUGCAUGUGUUGCAAUAGUGCAAGAUACUAGAACAUGUUAUGACAAUGGCUAGACAAGCUAGGGUAAUAAAGAUUAAGUUUUAAGAGUCACCAUUGAAUAUUCCUGAAUUGAAAAUGAUUUCCAUCCAAUGGAAAGGUUAACAUGUGGAAGAGACACAAACUUGAGAAAAAGAUUGUUAAAAUAUAAGUGUGAGAAAAAAUCUCAUAUUAGAUCGAAAUGACAGUUGAGUAUCAUAUAACAAGUGAGAAGAAAAUCAUAAACAUGAGUGAUAUGAUUUUAAUUUAAAAUAUGAUGUAAAAAUCACUUACAUAAUUACUCGGGAUAAAAUAUUUGAAGGAAAAAGAAUUGACUUGAGAGCCUUUUUCUUAGUUUACAUCUCGUUGUGCCAUUAACAAUUGAUAAUUCUGUCGAGCAUGCUAUAUUGUAAAGAAAAAUACUUCUCUCUUUAUUUGUUCAUUUUACAUAUUUCCUGGUGUCAAAAAAUUCUUUUUAUUGUAUUUUUAUAUCCUUUAAAAUAAAUUUGCUUUUGAAGUUUUCUCUUGGACCAGAUACCAUACAAAGAAUUUCACAUAAUGUAAAUGCACGGGGUUCUUUUUUAAUUUUGAUUUUGUGGCAUUUAUCUCUAUAUUUGGUUGAUAUAUUUGAAACUUGAUAGCGAUUAGCUGAUGUAUCAGUCAACGGACCCUAGUAUGGAAAAAGAAUAUGGUGAAGACAGAAUUUUUCCACAAACUAAUGUAUCAGCGUGAGUUUCCUUUAAUUUUCUUUUGAUUUAAACAUUUUUGUGGACGUAUUUUAAUUUUCCUUUUUGAUGUGAUUGGCGAGCUUAAUUUUCUAACCCAUAUUUUAAGGGUUGGCAGACUUGGAAAACAAUUGCUUGGAUUUAACUGAAGUGGCUGUUUAUACAUGUUUUCUUUUUAGAAUCAUAUCACAUAUAUGUAGUCGAUCUGUUGGUGAGGUAGACAGUGGGAGCUUAUGUUUUGUGCAGAGAUUGUGUCCUCAAACUUUCAUGUGAUAAGACAAAUUAACUUCUGAAUUUUCACAAUAAUACAGUUCUAUUCUAUCAUAAGAAAAAAAAAAAUACCACCAAUAACUUGUAGAUGCAUUUUCUCUUAAACAGGUGGUAUUCUAUCUCUGUGUUCAAUUAUAUCUUUUGGCUGGAAUCUUCCGUGUUCAUAUGUUGGGGAUUAAAAUAUUUAAUAGGGAUUAAUUAACAGGAAUAUAUCCAGAAAACAAGUAGUGUUCAAUUUUCCUUUUUGAUGUGAUUAGAGUGUCUAAUUUUCUAACCCAUAUUUUUAAGGUUGUAAGACUCGGAAAACAAUUGUUUGGUUUAACUAAAUUGGUUUAUACAUGUUUUGUUUUCUGAAUGAUAUGUAGCAUGCUUUCUGCGGUAGAAAACUAAGUCAGUCGAUCACAUGAGACAAAAAUUAAAUAUUUUCAUCGUCACCGUUGUAAUAGCUUGCUACAUUAAACAUAAUUAGUAAUAUAUUUUUUUUAAUUAUUAUCAAAACAAGGAUAAAAUUUUCAUGAUUAAACAAAAUAUCUAUUAAACUUAUUUAAAAAUGAUGGAUUAGUAAAAGCGAUGUAAAGGCAUAAAUUAUUAUAUGAAGAAUUAUCUUCCAAAAAUAAAAUCAACUCAUGAUACAAAAAUAAACAGAGUUUGAAGUAUAUAUAUAUAUAUAUAUAUAUAUAUAUAUAACUCUGUCAAUUGAAUAAUAGUUGGGGGGCGGGACCUAGGAUUUAUCUAGACAUAGCUUUCUAACUCUUAACAACUAAAAUUUCUAGACACAAGCCCGAUUAGAAGAUCAACAGUACAUACACCUCAACUCAUGACAAAAACCUUUAUAUUCCAUAGAUAAACUUAAAUUUCUCAAUUUAGGAGUACGAUUUGUCAAAUCUUAGACUUAAUCUAAUUAUAUUUGAACGGGUUAAUUUGAGUUGAUUUUCUAAAAAAUAUAUGAAAUUUAACCAAAACCAACUUAUUUAUAAAUUGUUUGAGUUUGAUUGGAUCAACCAAGGUAACAAUUUAAUAAUAUUUACAACAAUUUAAUAACACUUAAAACUCAUCCACCAUGUCUUAACAAUGUCCAACUCCUAAAUUGUGACAAAUAUAAGUUUUCUAACUUAUAAAUAAUUUAAUAUAUAAAUUUAAAUUUUCACAAAUAUUAAUUUUAAAAGAAUUUGUUUAAAUGAUAUAAUUUUGAAAAGUAUGUUAAUUUUAUACAUAUUCUUUCAACAAAUAUUUUAGAAUUAUGUAUUCUUUUUAAUUAAAUGUAAUAUUUAUUUUUAAAUAUUUCUAACAUCUUGAAAUUAUAUCAUAUACAAUUAUCCAUUUACAAAUAAUUUUAUAAAUGAUAUACUUUUGACAAAUUUAUUUUUUAUGUAUAAUUUCAAAAAAUAUUUUAUAAUUUAAAUUUUUAUAGUUUAAGGUAAUAUUUAUAUUUUAGAUGUUUUUCUCCGAAUUAUAUAUAUCAUAAACAAUUAUUUCUAGCGUUAUUUCAAAAUAAAUUUUGGGGAGCAAUUGCAUAAAUUAGUAAGGCAAAGGUUUUAGCUUGACAAUUGAAAAAAAAAUGCAUAAAAAAGGAUAUCCAUUAUUGAAAUAAAAUAAAUUUCUUUAAUUAAAUUAUAAUAUAUUUUAUUUUGGAAAGUGAAGGAAACACGUCAUAAAAAAACAAAAAAAAAAAAACUAAAAAGCUCCAUUGUUUUUAAAACUCAUAAAUCCAUAUACCUGAAUAGGGUUAAAAAAAUUCUUCAAAAUCUCUAUCACUCUUUUAUAGUAUCAAAUUUAAAUUAUUUUCCUAUUUUUAAGAUGACAAAUUGUUUCUGUAAAAAGACAAUAAAUUAUUAAAAAUAAAUUCAAAUAUAUAUAUAAUUAUAAACAAAACUAAAAAUAUUUUUUAUAAACAAAUCAUAUGAAAAAAAAUUCAAUUCAAUGAGCUAGUUCACAAGCUAGUUCUGUCAAGCACACCCUAUCUCUUCCUUAAAACAUUUUUUUGUUUAAAUCGUUUAGAUUUAAAUAGGUAAAUUUUUUAUUUUUUGGUUUUUUCCCUUUUAAAUUAUUGUUAAAUUUUUGCUCCCAAAAAAAUAAUUUUUGUAUUUUAUUUUUUGACUUUGGAUUUAUUUAGAUAGGGCUUUAGAAAAUGGAAUAAAAUUAUUUUGAUAGUUAUUUAGCAAAAAAACAAAAGAAAAAAUUAUUACAAACCAAAAAGUUAACAAAAAUUUAUUAGGAAUAAAAAAAAUUAAUGAUUUAUCAAGAACUAAAAAUAUAUUUAAAUUGUUUAUAACAUAAAAGAACAUGAAAAAUCAACCAUUAUGCAAUUCUCUUUGAACAAAAUUGUAAGAUGUAACAUUUUUAAAAUAAAUUUCAGAGAGCAACUCAGUCCAUACACUAAGAUAGUGUUUUACCUUGACAGUUGAAAAAAUGCAUUAAAAAGAAGGAUUUGCCGUGAAGGUUUCAAGAAAAUACAUGCAUGUGUAAUGUUAUUUCAUUUCUAGUUGGUAUUUUAAAGGGAAAACAUGGUUAAACAAAGAUAUGAAGUAGAAAAAUAAAAUAAAUCAUGUUUACAGAAAAAAUGAGUUCCAAGUCAAGUCAAUUUAAAUUGCAAUUGCUGGGACAACUUUGAUAGCGUGUAAAAGGAUCAUAAAAUUUAUGUGUCAAUUUGCGUGAGGUUUGGGCUGUUGAAGUCUUGAAGCUUAAUUUAGCCACAAAUUUUGCAUAUCAUCUUUUUAAUUUGACUAUAAAUAUUAAUGUUUGGUUGCUCAGUAUUAAUUUCAUGUAUAUUUUCCAUCCCUUAUAGUAAAGAGUAUUUGAGUAGAAAAUGGAAUCAUGGAUGUGGUGUUUCCUUCUCUGUUCCCAUUUGCUCAUCCUUUAUUUUUCACCCUCUCAUUCCUUAUGCCACCCCCAUGACACCUCUGCCUUGCUCCACUUCAAAAACUCCUUCACUAUUAAUACUAGUUAUGGCCAUAAUGAAUAUCCUUAUUAUUAUCAUAAAUGUGAUACUGGUUAUUCAAAGACGAGAACAUGGGAAAAUGGGACAGAUUGUUGCUCUUGGGCUGGAGUCACCUGCCACCCCAUCUCAGGUCAUGUCACUGACCUCGACCUCAGCUGCAGUGGCCUUCACGGCAAUAUCCAUCCAAACAGUACGCUUUUCCAUCUUUCUCAUCUUCACUCACUCAACCUUGCUUUCAAUCAUUUGUAUCAAUCUCAUUGGUCAUCUCUCUUUGGUGGGUUUGUGAGCCUCACUCAUCUCAACUUGUCUUAUUCUGAAUUUGAAGGGGAUAUUCAUUCCCAAAUCUCUCACCUUUCCAAAUUAGUCUCGCUUGAUCUCUCAGGUAAUGAUUUGUUAGAGUGGAAGGAAGACACUUGGAAGAGAUUGCUCCAAAAUGCAACAGUUUUAAGGGUGCUUGUUUUGGAUGGAGCAGAUAUGUCUUCCAUUUCAAUCAGGACACUCAAUAUGUCUUCCUCUUUGGUUACUCUUAGUCUUCGAUACAGUGGGCUAAGAGGAAACUUGACAGAUGGCAUUCUCUGUUUACCAAAUCUUCAGCACUUGGAUCUUUCAGGAAACUGGGUCCGUGGAGGCCAGCUUGCAGAAGUGAGUUGCAGCACAACUUCUCUUGAUUUCUUAGCUCUUUCAGAUUGUGUUUUCCAAGGGUCAAUCCCUCCCUUCUUCUCUAACCUCACACAUCUUACUUCCCUGGAUCUCUCAUAUAACAACCUCAACGGUCCAAUCCCUCCCUCUUUCUUCAACCUCACACAUCUCACUUCCCUAGACCUCUCAGGUAUCAACCUCAACGGUUCAAUCCCAUCCUCACUCUUAACCCUUCCACGGCUAAACUUUCUGAAACUACAGAAUAACCAACUCAGUGGUCAAAUCCCAGAUGUCUUUCCUCAGUCAAACAGCUUUCACGAAUUGGAUUUGAGUGAUAACAAAAUAGAGGGUGAGCUGCCAUCAACACUUUCAAAUCUUCAACAUCUCAUUUUCUUGGAUCUUUCAUAUAAUAAAUUGGAUUUGAGUGGUAACAAAAUAGAGGGUGAGCUGCCAUCAACACUUUCAAAUCUUCAACAUCUCCUUCACUUGGAUCUUUCAUAUAAUAAAUUGGAGGGCCCUCUGCCUAACAAUAUAACAGGGUUUUCAAACCUAACAUCGUUAAGGUUAAAUGGAAACUUACUGAAUGGGACAAUUCCUUCUUGGUGUUUAUCUUUGCCAUCUUUGAAGCAGUUAGAUCUAUCAGGAAACCAACUCUCUGGGCAUAUUAGUGCAAUCUCAUCAUAUUCCUUGGAGACAUUGUCUUUAUCCCACAACAAGUUACAAGGCAAUAUUCCAGAAUCAAUUUUUAGCCUUCUAAACCUUACACUCUUAGAUCUAUCAUCAAACAAUUUAAGUGGAUCUGUCAAAUUUCAUCAUUUCUCCAAGCUUCAAAAUUUGAAAGAACUUCAACUUUCACGGAAUGAUCAGUUAUCACUAAAUUUCAAAUCCAAUGUCAAGUAUAAUUUCUCCCGUUUAUGGAGAUUGGACUUAUCUUCUAUGGAUUUAACUGAAUUUCCAAAAUUAUCGGGAAAAGUCCCAUUUUUGGAAUCACUCCAUUUGUCCAAUAACAAACUUAAAGGUAGAGUGCCAAAUUGGUUGCAUGAAACGAACUCAUUGUUAUUGGAAUUGGACCUCUCUCAUAACCUAUUGACGCAAUCAUUGGACCAAUUCUCGUGGAAGAAACCACUCGCUUACCUUGAUCUUAGUUUUAACUCAAUCACUGGUGGCUUCUCUUCCUCAAUUUGCAAUGCAAGUGCAAUUGAGAUUCUCAACUUAUCUCACAACAUGUUGACAGGAACCAUUCCACAAUGCCUUGUUAACUCAUCAACCCUUGAAGUUUUGGAUCUGCAACUGAACAAGCUUCAUGGCCCUUUGCCAAGUACCUUUGCACAGGACUGUUGGCUCAGAACUCUGGAUCUCAAUGGCAACCAAUUAUUAGAAGGCUUUUUGCCAGAAUCUUUGUCCAAUUGCAUUUAUCUGGAGGUUUUAAAUCUUGGAAACAAUCAAAUAAAGGAUGUGUUUCCCCAUUGGCUUCAAACUCUACCAGAAUUGAAAGUAUUGGUUUUGAGAGCCAACAAGUUGUACGGUCCCAUUGAGGGUUCAAAGACCAAGCAUGGAUUCCCCAGUUUAGUCAUUUUUGAUGUCUCUUCCAACAACUUCAGCGGCCCAAUUCCAAAAGCCUACAUUAAAAAAUUUGAAGCCAUGAAGAACGUUGUUCUAGAUGCCUAUAGCCAAUACAUAGAAGUUCCUUUUAAUUUAUUUUAUGGACCCAACGACAGACCCAACGACAGACCCAACUACGCUGAUUCUGUGACUAUAACAACAAAAGCAAUUACUAUGACAAUGGUCAGAAUUCGAAAUGACUUUGUAAGCAUUGAUUUAUCGCAAAACAGAUUUGAAGGAGAGAUUCCAGGUGUCAUUGGGGAGCUUCAUUCACUCAGAGGACUCAACCUUUCCCAUAACAGACUUAUUGGUCCUAUUCCCCAAUCCAUGGGAAAUUUGAGAAACUUAGAAUCAUUGGAUCUCUCCUCAAAUAUGCUCACUGGUCGGAUACCUACAGAAUUAAGCAAUUUGAACUUUCUUGAAGUCCUAAAUCUUUCCAAUAACCAUCUUGUGGGAGAAAUACCUCAAGGAAAACAGUUCGGUACUUUUUCCAAUGAUUCCUAUGAGGGAAACUCUGGGUUAUGUGGACUCCCACUGACAAUCAAAUGCAGCAAGGACCCUGAACAACAUUCUCCACCUUCAACUACCUUCAGGAAAGAAGGAGGAUUUGGAUUUGGUUGGAAAGCAGUGGCUAUAGGAUAUGGAUGUGGAAUGGUCUUUGGAGUGGGAAUGGGAUGUUGUGUAUUGUUAAUAGGAAAGCCUCAAUGGCUUGUGAGAAUGGUUGGAGGUAAACUCAAUAAAAAGGUGAAAAGGAAGACAAGAAUGAGAUCUAAUGAAAAUGGUAGCAGAAUGAAUUAGUUGAUAUAUGGCAUGACUGGAGAAUGUCUUGUUACAUACCUGCCACCUUUGAAAACAAAACUUAAGGGCAAGAACUUGAUCACACUGCAUUGCAUGGGAGAUCUGGUUCAAAGUUUUGCUGUAAUAUGAAUGUGUUGUACUUUUGCUUUUUUGUGUGUUCUUUUUCGUUUGUUGUGUAGAAGAGUGCGAUGUAUUGAGUUGCAGUUUUCAUUUAUUUAAUACGUAUAACUGUGGCAUUAAUUGGUUGUAUAAUAAUAGAUGUUGUAUAUUUUUAAAAAUGCUAUGUAUUGGCCAAUGCUAAAAUAUUUUGUAUCUGAAUUCACGGUUUUAGCUUCUAUUGUAGUCUAUUUAAUUAAUUUUCUAACUAUUUAACCAGCGUGACAUGGCUUUAGAAGCUGAGGUCCAAGGGGCGUAAGUAUAAGAGCACAAACAAUGCAUACUAAAGGAAGGCUAUGGGUAUAGCCUAGGCCUCAUGGUCCGUAGGAUAUCACAGAUUCAUUUUUUAUUAAGUAAUUUUUCCCAAAUUAGAAUAAUUUGAAAUAAAAGUAGCAUUACUAAAAUCAGUUAUAAUUAAAUCUAAACUUUUUCUUUUUCAAUUACUAUUACGAUAAAUUGGCAGUGGUACGUGCUGUAAAUAUUACAUCUACUUAUAAUGUCAGCACCCAAAAAUUAUUUUUAUAAUGUAAAAUUUACAUUGUCAUUAAUUUGCUUUAUUAAUUUUUAUUAUAACUAUUUAAAAUUUAUAUUAUUAUCAUAAAAUCCGUAUCGAUAAUUUUUAAUUAAGCACAAAUUUUUUUAAUUUUAGUAAAUAUUAAAAAAUAUAUAAUAUAAUGUUAGUUUUUUUCAAAAAAAAAAACAACAUUAUCAUUAAAUAAAUCAGUGUGCGCGCUGUACAAUAAUUCACUUUUAUCAUUGAAAAUAAAAAUAAAAACUGUUAUUCAAAAUAAAAUAUGCAUUAGUGACUAUUAUAAUAAUUAUCUUAAUGAUUAAAUAUAUUUUUAUCUUUAAUAAAUAAUUUUUUUUCUCCCUAAUAAAUAUUUGUUUUUUUACUAUCUUAUUAAAUAAUAAUUUUGUUUUUUGUCCUAGAUAUUUUGUUGUAAUCCCUAAUGAAUUAACAAAUUUUUGUUUACUUCCUUUUAAAUUAACGAAUUUUUCUUUGUCCGACUAAUAAUAAAUAAAAAAUUAUCAAAAAAUAAGCACACAAUUUAUGCCAUGAAAUAAUUAUAUCAUGCAUGAAAUAAUUAUUAAUCAUGCAUGAAAUAUUAUCAAAUAAUAAAUUAUAUCAUGCAUGAAAUAAUUAUUAAUCUAUAUCAUUUGGGUGAAAAAUUUCCCAAGUAGUCCAAUACAAAUAAUAAAUAAACUAAACCAACACUUUCCUAAAUUGAAAUAAGAUCAAUAUCCAAUCCAAACAAUAAUCAAACUAAAGUACCUAUUUCUGACGUAGAAAAGGAGAUUUCAAAUAAUUAUAAAAUCCUAAAUUUGGCAAUAAAAAUUAAACUAAAAUAAAAUAAAAUUUCAAAUUUGGCAAUAACACAUUAUCUAAUAAUGACCUCCAAACUAUUAACUCAAUCACCGGUGGCUUCUCUUCCUCAAUUUGCAAUGCAAGUGCAAUUUCUGGGCCACACCAGCUUGCUGCAAACUACUUGGGAGGCACACAAAAGGCUAAGAAUGCUGUUUUCUGAACCUUUAUCAAUUGAUGGUCUGAACAAAUAUUUUCCAUUUCAUAAAUACUCGGGCAAUGGAUACAGUAGAUCAAUGGCUAGGAAGGAAAGUCCUGGUUCUUGAAGAGGCUUCUAAUUUGAGUUCCAAUAAGUUUUCAGACAAUAAAAUUUUCCAUAUUUAGUUAUGCAUCUUAUUUGAUAAUAAUCAGUAUUUGAAAUAUUAAAUAUAACAGUUUACUCUAAAAGUGAUUGAACACAUGAUCAUGAGUUUAGAGCCUUCUUUGGAAGAACAAGAAAAGUUUGGUCAAAGUUUAAGAUUAUUUCUUCCACAUUUGCUUCAUUGCCUUUUAAACUUUCAGAGACAUAAUUUUCAUCGCAGUAUCAAGGUAACAAAGCAAUACACGACUAACCACACAUGACACACCACUAAACAGGCUGGGUUCACUGAUUUAAUUAUGAGGAUCACUGAAUUCUCCUUUCCUCGGAUACAUAUGUUAUGCAUGUAUGCAUGCUCCGGGAUAUUAUGCACUACACGUUGGAUUCUAUAAUGUUUUAAAGAGAAAACUGCCAAGACAUUAAACAAGAUUUCUUAGAACCCUUAGAAUUAGAUAUGAAAAAUAGAAGAGAAGACGGAGAAGAAGAUACAUAAUUGAAGGACAAUAUAUUAACUCUGCUGGUUGCAGGCCAUGAUACCACAAUUAUUCUCAUACAUAGCUCAUCAAAUUUCUUGAUGAAAAUCCAACUGUUCUGGAACAAUUGAGAGUAAAUAUUAAGAACCUAUAAUGUUUAUCCUUUACAUGGUUGAAGAUUGUAAAAACAAGCUUCAUGAAUGCUGAUGUUUUUGUAGGAGGUGCACAAACAAAUUGUUGCAAACAGAAGGAGUCGAAAAAUAUUACAGUGUUUGAAGUUAAUAGCAUUUCCCUUUAUCUGCGGCGACGCUUGUUCCUAACUGAAUAUUUGGGUGCUUUGGUUUGUCUCUGAAACGAGCUCUAUGUUUGUUUCUGAGCAACGGCUUUCCUUUGUCUCUGAGCUUUUAGGUUCGAAGCAUAUUUCACUUUCAGCCUUACCCUCGAGGCGUAUUUUUGCAGCGUAGUUGAGGUCACGAGUGCAUUCGAAUUUUAAGAAUAGGGUUCAUGACUUCAUGUAUGUGCACUGGACCAUCCUGUACACUAGGGAUUGCUAGUGGGAAAUGUAUUAGCAUGGAUAUUCUUUUACUUGUUUUGGAACUGAUAUAACAGGCUUUGGUUCUUGAACGUGUAAUGUUCAUAAACAUCUUAAGUUAAGGUCUGAUUUGAGCAUUUGAGGUUGUAACAUGUAUGCUUUAAUGGAACAAGAUGUAAAAAAGUCGAAUUGAACCUUGGUGGUAAAAUCAAAAUCACACCUCCUCCACCUAGAGGUACAUCACUUAGCAAUACAACACUUAGCGUGCUAGCACUUCAUGUCUAGCAAGAGGAGUGAUAGCUUUGUAACUAAUAACAUUUUUUAGUUAAUUACUAGAUAUAUUCCUGACAAUAUUAAUGGCAUCAACGUCCAAUGAUGGACUAUUGUUGAACAAUGGGUUUUCUCCCGCAAGGCUGCAACUUAUAAUUAAAUACUCAUUUUAAACUAUUUUUCUGAGAAUUUUAAGAUUGUUACGAGCUUGUCUGAGUUUAGGGAUCAAUGGCUGUUAUGGAGUUCAAUAAUUUUAGGGCUCAUCAACCUCAUCUUACUUGAAAAUAAAUUACGUAAUUAAACGAGCCACCCUAAGAAUUUAAAUUAUCUGGAGGGCUAAAAUAAGGAACAUUGUCAAUACUGGGUGAAGAUAAUACACCCAUUCUGAUCGACUCUUCUCAUCAACCCAACGGAGACUGAGUUUGCAGUCAGUGUCAAGAAAACCUCAUUGCUGAUUUGCAGUAUUUUAUAAUAAAUCACAAUUAGAGUAUCACAGUUGUAGACUUGCAGUCAACAUUAAAAACAAAUAUAUAAAGGUUGUCUAUCUUAACAUUAACAUAUCUUCUUAAUUAUGUUUGCGUUUGCUUACUUUUUGUUUUGGUUUUUAAUUUCAACUUGGUUUUCUCGUUUAAGGUGUUCUAAUUUGCAUACUUAGUUAAGAAAAGGCGAUGUAAUUGAAGGAGUAUAGUAAUUUUCUAUUUUUUUCCGUAGGAUAUCGCAUUUGUUUUUUUCAAAGUUCGAGUAAUUCAACUAUAUAAAAUAUUUUUAUAACACAUCAUGAACAUCUAAUCUUAUUGGAAACGAUAUUAAUGAAUGAAAAGAUAAACAUUUAUUUUAAACCUUAUACAUCAUUCAAAUAAUUAUUUCAUGUAUCAUGUUUAAAAGUUCCUAAUUUUUAAUUAUAGUCUCUUCUUCUAAAAUAUAAAGACAUGUACACCAAUUAACAAAGUUUAUGUUGUUUACAUCUUUCUUUUAAAAAAAUGUUGUUUACGACUUAUUUUUCACGUUAAUUAUUAUCAUACUCUCUUUUUUCGAAACAAAAUUGAUAAUCAUAUUUUCUUAUAAAAUUUAAUUAUAACAUUUAAUUUUAUUCUCGUGUUCAACAACCACGUUAGUUACACUUACAACUCAUCCACAAUAUCCUAACAAUGUCCAACUCCUAAAUUGUGACAAAUAUAAGAUUUCUAAUUUAUAAAUAUUUUAAUUUGUAAAUUAAAAUUUUGACAAAUUUUAAUUUAAAAAUAUUUUUUAAAACAAUAUAAUUUUGAAAAAAUAUGUUAAUUAAUUUUAUGGAUGAAAAAAAGAGGAUAUCCCGUGAAGUUGAAGACAAUACAAUUGAAAUGGCAAUACUGAAUAGUGAGCACAAUCUGGGUAGCGUUAUGAUAGGGUUAGAAAUGAAAUGAAAUGACAGCACUGAGGAUGACCUAGCUGUAGCGUUAUGAAAGGGUUUAGAAAAUGGAUGUUUGCGUGAAGCAUGGAAGGAAGCACAUCAUAAAAAUCAAAAUAAAAUAAAACUGCAACACUCCAUUGUUUUCAAAAGUCAUAUUUCAUUUACAUGAGAGUUAAAGAAAUUCAUCAAAUCUCUACCAUUCUUUUAUUAUAUAAAAUUUAAAUUAUUGUCAUAUUUUUACUUAAUAUUUAAUUCCAUCCACUCCACUACUUGCUAAAACUGACCAUAUCCUCAUCCGAUUCACUCAAGGUUUACAAAAUUGGCUCCAUCAUGUUAUUUCAUUUCUAGUUGGUAUUUUAAAGGGGAAAAAUGUUAAAUAAAGAUAUGAACUACAAAAAUCAAAUAAAUCAUGUUUUCCUGAAAAGAGACUUCCAGGUCAAUUAACAAAAUGGCGUGAUGAGAGGAUUGGAAAAUAAAUCAUAUCUAAUUGGAAACGAUAUUAAUGGAUCAAAAGAUAAACAUUUCUUUUUAAACUUUAUACAUCAUUCACAUACUUAUUUCAUCUAUCAUGUCUACCAUUUUCUAAUUUUAAUUUAUAUUUCCUUCUUCGUAAAUAUAAAGACAUGUACACCAAUUAACAAACUUCAAAUUGUUUACAACUUCCUUUAAAAAAAUGUUGAUUACAACUUAUUUUCCACAUUAAUCAAUUAUUGCCUUAAUCUUUUUUUUCAAACAUAACUUAUAAUCAAUUUUUCAUAUAAAAAUUAAUUCUAACAUUUAAUUUUAUUCUGAAGGUUAAUUAAACAACCACAUUAAAAACACUUACAACUCAUGCGCCAUAUCGUAACAAUGUCCAACUCCUAAAUUGUGACAAAUAUAAGUUUUCUAACUUAUAAAUAUUUUAAUAUGUAAAUUAAAAUUUUGAUAAAUAUUAAUUUAAAAAUAAUUUGUUUAAAUAAUAUAAUUUUGAAAAGGAUGUUAAUUUUAUACAUAUGCUUUCAACAAAUAUUUUAUAAUUACGUAUUCUUUUUAAUUUAAUAUAAUAUUUAUUUUUAAAUAUUUCUAACAUCUUGAAAUUAUAUCAUAUAGAAUUAUUAAUUUACAAAUAAUUCUAUAAAUGAUAUAAUUUUGACAAAUGCAUUUUUUUAUGUAUAAUUUCAAAAAAUAUUUUAUAAUUUAAAUUUUUAUAGUUUAAGGUAAUAUUUAUAUUUUAAAUAUUUUUCUCCGAAUUAUAUCUAUCAUAAACAAUUAUUUCUAGCGUUAUUUCAAAAUAAAUUUUGGGGAGCAAUUGCAUAAAGUAAGGCAAAUGUUUUAGCUUGACAAUUGAAAAAAAAUGCAUAAAAAAAGGAUAUCCAUUUUUGAAAUAAAAUAAAUUUAUUUAAUUAAAUUAUAAUAUAUUUUAUUUUUGAAAGUGAAGGAAACACGUCAUAAAAAACAAAACAAAAUAAAGCUACAAACCUCCAUUGUUUUUAAAACUCAUAAAUCCAUAUACCUGAAUAGGGUUAAACAAAUUCUUCAAAAUCUCUAUCAUUCUUUUAUAGUAUCAAAUUUAAAUUAUUUUCCUAUUUUUAAGAUGACAAAUUGUUUCUGUAAAAAAGUUAAUAAAUUAUUAAGAAUAAAUUCAAAUAUAUAUAUAUAUAUAUAUAUAUAAUUAUAACCAAAAACUUAAAAUAUUUGUUAUUAACAAAUCAUAUGAAAGAAAAUUAAUUCAAUGAGCUAGUUCACACGCUAGUUCUGACAAGCACACCCUAUCUCUUCCUUAAAAAAAAAUUUUGUUUAAAUCGUUUAGAUUUAAAUAGGUACGUUUUUUAAUUUUGGUUUUUGCCCCUUUUAAAUUAUUGUUAACUUUUUGCUCCCAAAUAAAUAAAUUUUGUAUUUUAUUUUUUGACUUUGGAUUUAUUUAGAUAGGGCUUUAGAAAAUGGAAUAAAAUUAUUUUGAUAGUUAUUUAGGAAAAGAACAAAAGAAAAAUUUAUUACAAACCAAAAAGUUAACAAAAAUUUAUUAGGAAUAAAAAAAAAACAAAAUUUGAUGAUUUAUCAACAACUAAAUACAUAUUUAAAUAGUUUAUAACACAAAAGAACAUGAAAAAUCAACCAUUAUGCAAUUCUCUUUGAAUAAGAGUUAUAAUUUCCAUCUAGUACUUCUUUACUUGUGAAUAUUAAAAUUAUUAGAUGUAACAUUUUUAAAUUAAAUUUCAGAGAACAACUCAGUCCAUACACUAAGAUAUAUAGUGUUUUACCUUAACAGUUGAAAAAAUUCAUUAAGAAUUAACUAAGGAUUUGCCGUGAAGGUUUCAAUACAAUACAUGCAUGUGUAAUGUUAUUUCAUUUCUAGUUGGUAUUUUAAAGGGAAAACAUGGUUAAACAAAGAUAUGAAGUAGAAAAAUAAAAUAAAUCAUGUUUGCAGAAAAAAUGAGUUCCAAGUCAAGUCAAUUUAAAUUGCAAUUGCUGGGACAACUUUGAUAGCGUGUAAAAAGAUCAUAAGAUUUAUGGUCAAUUUGCGUGAGGUUUGGGCUGUUGAAGUCUUGAAGCUUAAUUUAGCCACAAAUUUUGCAUAUCAUCUUUUUAAUUUGACUAUAAAUAUUAAUGUUUGGUUGCUCAGUAUUAAUUUCAUGUAUAUUUUCCUUCCCUUAUAGUAAAGAGUAUUUGAGUAGAAAAUGGAAUCAUGGAUGUGGUGUUUCCUUCUCUGUUCCCAUUUGCUCAUCCUUUAUUUUUCACCCUCUCAUUCCUUAUGCCACCCCAUGACACCUCUGCCUUGCUCCACUUCAAAAACUCCUUCACUAUUUAUGAAGAUCCUUAUUAUUCUUAUUUUUGUGAUCAUGGUUAUUCAAAGACGACAACAUGGGAAAAUGGGAGAGAUUGUUGCUCUUGGGCUGGAGUCACCUGCCACCCCAUCUCAGGUCACGUCACUCAGCUCGACCUCAGCUGCAAUGGCCUUUACGGCAAUAUCCAUCCAAACAGUACGCUUUUCCAUCUUUCUCAUCUUCACUCACUCAACCUUGCUUUCAAUGAUUUUGAUGAAUCUAAUUUGUCAUCUCUCUUUGGUGGGUUUGAGAGCCUCACGCAUCUCAACUUGUCUUCUUCUGACUUUGAAGGGGAUAUUCCUUCCCAAAUCUCUCACCUUUCCAAAUUAGUCUCGCUUGAUCUCUCAUAUAAUAUAUUAAAGUGGAAGGAAGACACUUGGAAGAGAUUGCUCCAAAAUGCAACAGUUUUAAGGGUGAUUGUUUUGGAUGGAAAUGAUAUGUCUUCCAUUUCAAUCAGGACACUCGAUAUGUCUUCCUCUUUGGUUACUCUUAGUCUAAGACAGACUGGGCUAAGAGGAAACUUGACAGAUGGCAUUCUCUGUUUACCAAAUCUUCAACACUUGGAUCUUUCACUUAAUUGGGACCUUAAAGGUCAGCUUCCAGAAGUGAGUUGUAGAACAACUUCUCUUGAUUUCUUACAUCUUUCAUGUUGUGAUUUCCAAGGGUCAAUCCCUCCUUCUUUCUCCAACCUCAUACAUCUCACUUCCCUAUAUCUCUCACUUAACAACCUCAACGGUUCAAUCCCUCCCUUUUUCUCUAACUUUACACAUCUUACUUCCUUAGAUCUCUCAGAAAACAACCUCAACGGUUCAAUCCCUCCCUCUUUCUCCAACCUCAUACAUCUCACUUUCCUGGACCUCUCACAUAACAACCUCAACGGUUCAAUCCCUCCCUCUUUCUCCAACCUCAUACAUCUCACUUCCCUGGACCUUUCAGGUAACAACCUCAACGGUUCAAUCCCUCCCUUUUUCUCUAACUUCACACAUCUUACUUCCUUGGAUCUCUCAGAAAACAACCUCAACGGUUCAAUCCCUCCCUCUUUCUCCAACCUCAUACAUCUCACUUCCCUGGCCCUUUCACGUAACAACCUCAGUGGUCAAAUCCCAGAUGUCUUUCCUCAGUCAAACAGCUUUCACGAAUUGGAUUUGAGCGAUAACAAAAUAGAGGGUGAGCUGCCUUCAACACUUUCAAAUCUUCAACAUCUCAUUCACUUGGAUCUUUCAUAUAAUAAAUUGGAGGGCCCUCUGCCUAACAAUAUAACAGGGUUUUCAAACCUAACAUUCUUAUGGUUAUAUGAAAACUUACUGAAUGGGACAAUUCCUUCUUGGUGUUUAUCUUUGCCAUCUUUGGUGGGUUUAGAUCUAUCAGGAAACCAAUUCUCAGGGCAUAUUAGUGCAAUCUCAUCAUAUUCCUUGGAGAGAUUGAUUUUAUCCCACAACAAGUUACAAGGCAAUAUUCCAGAAUCAAUUUUUAGCCUUCUAAACCUUACUGACUUAGAUCUAUCAUCAAACAAUUUAAGUGGAUCUGUCAAAUUUCAUCAUUUCUCCAAGCUUCAAAAUUUGAAAGAACUUCAACUUUCACAGAAUGAUCAGUUAUCACUAAAUUUCAAAUCAAAUGUCAGUUAUAGUUUCUCCAAUUUAUUGAGUUUGGACUUAUCUUCUAUGGGUUUAACUGAAUUUCCAAAAUUAUCGGGAAAAGUCCCAAUCUUGGAAUCACUCUAUUUGUCCAAUAACAAACUUAAAGGUAGAGUGCCAAAUUGGUUCCAUGAAAUAUCGUUAUAUGAAUUGGACCUCUCUCAUAACCUAUUGACACAAUCAUUGGACCAAUUCUCGUGGAACCAACAACUCGGUUACCUUGAUCUUAGUUUUAACUCAAUCACUGGUGACUUCUCUUCCUCAAUUUGCAAUGCAAGUGCAAUUGAGAUUCUCAACUUGUCUCACAACAAGUUGACAGGAACCAUUCCACAAUGCCUUGCUAACUCAUCAUCCCUUCAAGUUUUGGAUCUACAACUGAACAAGCUUCAUGGCACUUUGCCAAGUACCUUUGCAAAGGACUGUUGGCUCAGAACUCUGGAUCUCAAUGGCAACCAAUUAUUAGAAGGUUUUUUGCCAGAAUCUUUGUCCAAUUGCAUUAAUCUGGAGGUUUUAGAUCUUGGAAACAAUCAAAUAAAGGAUGUGUUUCCCCAUUGGCUUCAAAUUCUACCAGAAUUGAAAGUAUUGGUUUUGCGAGCCAACAAGUUGUACGGUCCCAUUGCCGGUUUAAAGACCAAACACGGAUUCCCCAGUUUAGUCAUUUUUGAUGUCUCUUCCAACAACUUCAGCGGCCCAAUACCAAAAGCCUACAUUAAAACAUUUGAAGCGAUGAAGAACGUUGCUCUACAUGCCUAUAGCCAAUACAUGGAAGUUUCUGUAAAUGCUUCUUCUGGACCCAACUACACUGAUUCUGUGACUAUAACAACAAAAGCAAUUACUAUGACAAUGGACAGAAUUCGAAAUGACUUUGUAAGCAUUGAUUUAUCCCAAAACAGAUUUGAAGGAGAGAUUCCAAGUGUCAUUGGGGAACUUCAUUCACUCAGAGGGCUAAACCUUUCCCAUAACAGACUUAUUGGUCCUAUUCCCCAAUCCGUGGGAAAUUUGAGAAACUUAGAAUCGUUGGAUCUCUCCUCAAAUAUGCUUACUGGUGGGAUACCUACAGAAUUAAUCAAUUUGAACUUUCUUGAAGUCCUAAAUCUUUCCAAUAACAAUCUUGUGGGAGAAAUACCUCAAGGAAAACAGUUCGGUACUUUUUCCAAUGAUUCCUAUGAGGGAAACUCAGGGUUAUGUGGACUCCCACUGACAAUCAAAUGCAGCAAGGACCCUGAACAACAUUCUCCACCUUCAACUACCUUCAGGAGAGAAGGAGGAUUUGGAUUUGGUUGGAAACCAGUGGCUAUAGGAUAUGGAUGUGGAAUGGUCUUUGGAGUUGGAAUGGGAUGUUGUGUACUGUUAAUGGGAAAGCCUCAAUGGCUUGUGAGAAUGGUUGGAGGUCAACUAAAUAAAAAGGUGAAAAGGAAGACAAGGAUGAAAUCUAAUGAAAAUGGUAGCAUAAUGAAUUAGAUGAUAUGUGGCAUGACUGUAGAAUGUCUUCUUGCACACCUUCCUGUUGAAAUUCAAUUCUGCCUUGUUGAAAAUAAAACAUAAGGGCCAAAACCUUAUCACACUGCAUUGCAUAUGCAUGGGAGAUCUGUUUCAAAGUUUAGUUGUAAUUGUAAUAUGAUGUGUUGUACUUUUUUUUUUCUCUGUUGGAUAGAUGAGUGUGAUGUACUUUUUUCCCCUUCCUUUGCUACUGAAACUCGGGUCUAAAUCAUCAUAAGUUUGAUGUUCUUCAUUUUCCUUGAGCGGGCUAUUUUGUUUUAUUUAAUACAUAUAAUUGUAGUAUUGGUUAUAUAAUAAUAGUUGUUGUUGUAUACUCUUAAAAAUGUUCUGCAUUCGUCGUUGCUAGAAACAAAAUAUUUUGUGUUAACAGUAUGUAGUUAUAUUUCAUUCGAGGAGCUUAGUUCACGUACAGUAGUUUUCCUAUUUCGUUUCUAACUCCCUCAUGCACAUAUUGUCUUACAUGGCAAUUCUAUGACUGGAUGACCAUAUAAAAAAACUUGACACAGAUAUGGAAAGAUUUUCAAGAGCUGUCCUGAGGAGGUUCAUUGUCUUGAUGACUAGGAUGGGAUUGAGUUUGAAUCUGUUUUAUACUAGCCAGCAAUUUCUAGGCCACACCAACCUGCUGCAAAGUACUUGGGAGGCACACAAAAGACUAAGAAUGCUGUUUUCUGAACCUUUAUCAAUUGAUGGCCUGAAAAAAUAUUUUUCAUUUCAUAAAUACUCAGGCAAUGGAAACAUUAGAUAAAUGCCUAGGAAGGAAAGUGUUAGAAUUAAUGUCUCAUGUGAGAGGUAUAUGACUUAGUAGGGACUAAUAAAUAAAUAAUUAACGAUUAAAGGCUAAAUUGUAAUUGGGCUUAAUAGGAGAAGUUUCUAGGUUAACUGCUACUUGAUGGGAGUAGUGGUUAUAAAAGGGGCUUAAUACCCACUAACGUGAAAUAAGGUCCCCUUCCUGACCAAAAAGUGCUCUUUUCUCACCCAUAGCCAUCACGAACGGAGAGAGACAGAAAAGAAAGGUCAAAGGAAGUGAAAUCCUAUUUCUCUCAUCUUCAAAGAAAUCAAAGUGCACCAGAGAGAAGUUCCUAUGGAGAAAGGUACACAUCAUUAUCUAUUAUUCUUUAUUGAUUGUUUGUGAGAAUCAUAGGUUUCAAGAUCCUGUUGGUUUUCUAUAAUUGAUAGUCUAGGAAACCCCUUAAGAAUUUUUACAUGUGGUAUCAGAGCAUGUGUUAUGAAAUUUAUGAUUCUCCAAGAAUGAUUUAAUUUCUCCCAAUUAUGUAUGAACCCUAAUUAUGAAAUUUAGGGAUAAUUUAAUUUCUCUCAAUUAUGUAUGAACCCUAAUUAUGAAAUUUAGGGAUAAUUUAAUUUCUCCCAAUUAUGCAUAAAUCCUAAUUAUGAAAUUUAGGAAUUUUAUUUUCCGCUGCAUUUAUUGUUUUAUUGGUAAUAUUUUAUUAUUGUUGAAUACCAAUUUUUGGAGAAAGUAUAAAUAUUAUGUAAAUUUGGAGAAAACGAUUGUGGCUGCCACUAUCUAUUUAUAAUGGAAAAAGAAAGCGUGAGUUGCAAUUCCAAUUCAUGGAAAAGCUAUGGCUGCUACACGUAGGUUAGUAAGUGAAGGAAUUUUGAAAAGCUGCGCACUGCGCAGGUAUGUUUGUUCCUAUAAGAAAUUUUGGAAAUUGCUAUUUCCAACCUUAUGUUUGCUAUUUCCAAUCCCAUUUAAUUUUUUUUUUCUCCGAAAAAUUAUUGUUGAACGUGAUUAAAGGAUUGAAAAUUUAUGUUCUGUAAUUAAAUUAAUGUGAAUGUUUUGCAAUUAUUGAUAGUAGUAAAUAUAUGUAUAUGCUACAUAUUUGCUUGAACGUGUUGGAAUGUAAAAACACAAAUAAAUGCAAAUCUUAUUUUAUGGUCUGGAAUGAAAUUAAUAGAAUGACUAUGAAUUGUUAAUAGCAAUAAGUAUGUGCAGGCCAUACAUAUUUGGUUGGAAUUAAAUGUAUGUUGAAUUUGUUAGUCACCAAAGUGACCAAAUUUGUAAGAUUAUUUAAUUCCAAAUCAAUGAUUAUUUCAAUUAUACUUGGUUGGAAUUAAAUGUAUGUUGAAUUUGUUAGUCACCAAAGUGGCCAAAUUUGUAAGGUUAUUUAAUUCCAAAAUUAAUGAUUAUUUUGAUUACUCAUAGAAUAAUGGAUGCUAAAUUAUAUGGUUAUUGGUUUAUGGGUAAUUGAAAUUCAUUGUUAUAAGGCAUUUAUGGAUCGCUCAAAGGUUGAUUAGUUGUUCUUAUAAUUAAUGAAUAUAAUUGUAGACGAUUUGUGUGUAUCAUUAGUUUUAUUUAUAUGCCCAAAGGAAAUAGAUACUACUAAUUGGUGCAUAUUUAAUUGCCAAAUAAUGUUAAAAUUUUAUUAGUAUCAUUAUGUUUGUAUGUUGUGUGUUGAUGUAUCACCCAAAGGAGAACAUCAAUAUACAUUGACUGUUAUCUGAAUGAAUCAUAUGUGAUUGAGAGAUGGAAAUACCAUUGUUUCCACGUUUGAUCUUUAUUCCUAAGAUCACAUCCGCCUCCCCCAUAUCUUUCAUAUCAAACUUAGAAGACAAAAAUGCCUUAGUUUCAUCAACUUGAUCUUGGUCGGUACCAAAGAUCAACAUGUCGUCUACAUACAGACAAAUGAUAACUCCUUUGCCAUGAGUAUCAAACUUGCUGUAUAGACAUUUAUCUGCUUGGUUUAUAACAAAACCACUAGACAACACAACCUCAUCAAAUUUUUGAUGCCAUUGCUUAGGCGCUUGUUUCAAGCCAUAAAGAGAUUUCAUCAGUUUACACACCUUAUUUUCAUUUCCUGGCAUAACAAACCCUUCAGGUUGUUUCAUGUAUAUCUCUUCAUCCAAUUCACCAUUUAAGAAUGCAGUUUUCACAUCCAUUUGGUGAAUCAUCAGAUUGUGGAUAGCAGCAAGUGCUAACAACAGUCUAAUAGUGGAUAUCCUAGCUACAGGAGCAUAUGUAUCGAAAAAAUCAAUACCCUUCUUUUGCCUAAAGCCUUGGAUAACCAAUCUGGCUUUGUACUUGUCAACAGUACCAUCCACUUUCAUCUUUCUCCUAAAGAUCAUCUUACAUCCUAAUGGCUUACAUCCAGGAGGUAAGUCAACCAAUUUCCAUGUAUUAUUUUGCAUGAUGGAAUCCAUCUCACUUUGGAUUACUUCUUUCCAGAAUACAGCAUCCCUUGAAGCCAUUGCUUCACUAAAAGUCUUUGGGUCUUCCUCAACAUUAAGGCAAUAUUGAUAUUGAAAUUCAAUAUCAUUCCUUGACCCUUCAACCAAAUAGAGUUGAAAGUCAUCACCAAAUGACUUAGCUUUUCUUACUCUCGUACUCUUUCUAGUUUCAGUACUAGUUAAAGGUAUAUCCUCAAUAUUAACUGAGACUUUCGACAUGGAAUUCAUGUCCUUUGGCCUAGGUAUAGAUGUAAACCUUUGUUCAUGGGAAAAUGGGACAGAUUGUUGCUCUUGGGCUGGAGUCACCUGCCACCCCAUCUCAGGUCACGUCACUCAGCUCAACCUCAGCUGCAAUGGCCUUUACGGCAAUAUCCAUCCAAACAGUACGCUUUUUCAUCUUUCUCAUCUUCACUCACUCAACCUUGCUUUCAAUGAUUUUGAUGAAUCUCAUUUGUCAUCUCUCUUUGGUGGGUUUGUGAGCCUCACUCAUCUCAACUUGUCUAAUUCGUACUUUGAAGGGGAUAUUCCUUCCCAAAUCUCUCACCUUUCCAAAUUAGUCUCACUUGAUCUCUCAGAUAACAACCUCAACGGUUCAAUCCCAUCCUCACUCUUAACCCUCACACAUCUUACUUUCUUGGAUCUCUCAUAUAACCAACUCAGUGGUCAAAUCCCAGAUGUCUUUCCUCAGUCAAACAGCUUUCACGAAUUGCAUUUGAAUGAUAACAAAAUAGAGGGUGAGCUGCCAUCAACACUUUCAAAUCUUCAACAUCUCAUUCUCUUGGAUCUUUCAGAUAAUAAAUUGGAGGGCCCUCUGCCUAACAAUAUAACAGGGUUUUCAAACCUAACAUCGUUAAGGUUAAAUGGAAACUUACUGAAUGGGACAAUUCCUUCUUGGUGUUUAUCUUUGCCAUCUUUGAAGCAGUUAGAUCUAUCAGGAAACCAACUCUCUGGGCAUAUUAGUGCAAUCUCAUCAUAUUCCUUGGAGACAUUGUCUUUAUCCCACAACAAGUUACAAGGCAAUAUUCCAGAAUCAAUUUUUAGCCUUCUAAACCUUUAUUACUUAGGUCUAUCAUCAAACAAUCUAAGUGGAUCUGUCAAAUUUCAUCGUUUCUCCAAGCUUCAAUAUUUGGAAGAACUUCACCUUUCAUGGAAUGAUCAGUUAUCACUAAAUUUCGAAUCCAAUGUCAAUUAUAAUUUCUCUAAUUUAAGGUUGUUGAACUUAUCUUCUAUGGUUUUAACUGAAUUUCCAAAAUUAUCGGGAAAAGUCCCAAUUUUAGAAUCACUCUAUUUGUCCAAUAACAAACUUAAAGGUAGAGUGCCACAUUGGUUGCAUGAAAUAUCGUUAUCUGAAUUGGACCUCUCUCAUAACCUAUUGACACAAUCAUUGCACCAAUUCUCGUGGAACCAACAACUCGGUUCCCUUGAUCUUAGUUUUAACUCAAUCACUGGUGACUUCUCUUCCUCAAUUUGCAAUGCAAGUGCAAUUGAGAUUCUCAACUUGUCUCACAACAAGUUGACAGGAACCAUUCCACAAUGCCUUGCAAACUCAUCAUCCCUUCUAGUUUUGGAUCUACAACUGAACAAGCUUCAUGGCACUUUGCCAAGUAUCUUUUCAAAGGACUGUCAGCUCAGAACUCUGGAUCUCAAUGGCAACCAAUUAUUAGAAGGUCUUUUGCCAGAAUCUAUAUCCAAUUGCAUUCAUCUGGAGGUUUUAGAUCUUGGAAACAAUCAAAUAAAGGAUGUGUUUCCCCAUUGGCUUCAAACUCUACCAGAAUUGAAAGUAUUGGUUUUGCGAGCCAACAAGUUGUACGGUCCCAUUGCCGGUUUAAAGAUCAAGGAUGGAUUCCCCAGUUUAGUCAUCUUUGAUGUCUCUUCCAACAACUUCAGCGGCCCAAUACCAAAAGCCUACAUACAAAAAUUUGAAGCGAUGAAGAACGUUGUUAUAGAUACCGAUCUGCAGUACAUGGAAAUUUCUUUUUCUUAUGGUGGAAACAAGUACAGUGAUUCUGUGACUAUAACAACAAAAGCAAUUACUAUGACAAUGGAUAGAAUUCGAAAUGACUUUGUAAGCAUUGAUUUAUCGCAAAACGGAUUUGAAGGAGAGAUUCCAAAUGCCAUUGGAGAGCUUCAUUCACUCAGAGGACUCAACCUUUCCCAUAACAGACUUAUUGGUCCUAUUCCCCAAUCCAUGGGAAAUUUGACAAACUUAGAAUCAUUGGAUCUCUCCUCAAAUAUGCUCACUGGUCGGAUACCUACAGAAUUAACCAAUUUGAACUUUCUUGAAGUGCUAAAUCUUUCCAAUAACCAUCUUGCGGGAGAAAUACCUCGAGGACAACAGUUCAAUACUUUUUCCAAUGAUUCCUACAAGGGAAACUUGGGGUUAUGUGGACUCCCAUUGACAACAGAAUGCAGCAAGGGCCCUGAACAACAUUCUCCACCUUCAACUACCUUGAGGAGAGAAGCAGGAUUUGGAUUUGGUUGGAAACCAGUGGCUAUAGGAUAUGGAUGUGGAGUGGUCUUUGGAGUGGGAAUGGGAUGUUGUGUAUUGUUAAUAGGAAAGCCUCAAUGGCUUGUGAGAAUGGUUGGAGGUAAACUCAAUAAAAAGGUGAAAAGGAAGACAAGGAUGAGAUCUAAUGAAAAUGGUAGCAGAAUGAAUUAGUUGAUAUAUGGCAUGACUGGAGAAUGUCUUGUUACAUACCUGCCAUCUUUGAAAACAAAACUUAAGGGCAAGAACUUGAUCACACUGCAUUGCAUGGGAGAUCUGGUUCAAAGUUUUGCUGUAAUAUGAAUGUGUUGUACUUUUGCUUUUUUGUGUGUUCUUCUUCGUUUGUUGUGUAGAAGAGUGCGAUGUAUUGAGUUGCAGUUUUGAUUUAUUUAAUACGUAUAACUGUGGCAUUAAUUGGUUGUAUAAUAAUAGAUGUUGUAUAUUUUUAAAAAUGCUAUGUAUUGGCCAAUGCUAAAAUAUCUUGUAUCUUAAUUCAAGAGCUGAAUUCACGGUUUUAGCUUCCAUUGUAGUUUAUUUAAUUAAUUUUCUAACUAUUUAAGCACCGUGACAUGGCUUUAGAAGCUGAGGUCGUCCAGGGCGUAAGUAUAAGAGCACAAACAAUGCAUACUAAAGGAAGGCUAUGGGUAUAGCCUAGGCCUCAUGGUCCGUAGGAUAUCACAUAUUUAUUUUUUAUUAAGUAAUUUUUCCCAAAUUAGAAUAAUUGUUUGGUGAAAAUUUUUCAAAAUUUGAAAUAAAAGUAGCAGUACUAAAAUCAGUUAUAAUUAAAUAUAAACUUUUUCUUUUUCAAUUACUAUUACGAUAAAUUGGUAGUGGUACGUGCUGUAAAUAUUACAUCUACUUAUAAUGUCAGCACCCAAAAAUUAUUUUUAUAAUGUAAAAUUUACAUUGUCAUUAAUUUGCUUUAUUAAUUUUUAUUAUAACUAUUUAAAAUUUAUAUUAUCAUCAUAAAAUCUGAAAAAUCGUAUCUAUAAUUUUUAAUAAGCGUAAAAUUUUGUAAUUUUUAUAAACUUUAGUAAAUAUUAAAAAAUAUAUAAUAUAAUGCUAGUAUUUUUCAAAAAAAUCAACAUUGUCCUUAAAUAAACCAGUGUGCUGUACAAUAAUUCACUUUUAUCAUUCAAAAGAAAAAUUAAAACUGUAAUUCAAAAUAAAAUAAGCAUGAGUGACUUUUAUAAUAAUGACCUUAAUGAUUAAAUAUAUUUAAUUUUAACAAAUACUUAAUUUAUUAAUAAUAUAUUUAAUUUUAACAACAUUCUAAAAAUAAGAUAAUAUCUUUUUUUAUGAAAAUAAUAUCUUAAAGAUUUGAGGAUAUAAAUUUGAAUUAUUUCUGAAUAAAAUCUUGGAUAUGCAAUUAAAUACUUGAAGAAAGAAUUGUAUCAUCCAUAAUAAUCAUAUUGAUUCAAACAAGAUUAUCUUCAAUGAAAUAUACCUAUUGUCAUGAUGAAAAACAUAAGAUGUAAGAUAUAUCUAACAAAAAGCAAAGUUAGACUUAUGUAGAUCAACCAACUAAUCCCUAUACCCACUCAUCACCUGAGCUCAGCCAAAACUCGCUUAAGCCCCAACUGUGCAUGGCUUAAGCUCUUAGCCAACACCACUUAUGCUACAUAAAAACAUGUUAGUUUGCUCAUUUGUUCUUUUCUUGCAGGAAAUCUCUCCAAGUUUGGGCUCACAUUCGUGAUUUGGCUCCUUUCCGCAGACGUUUCACUUCUUUACAGCGCAUUACUGACUCUUUAAUUAGGGGCAGAUCUACAUCAGAUGUUCAAGGAAAAUUACCCUAUAGCAAUUACAGUCUACUGCAUCAGGCUGUUUAGGAACAAGCUGAUUUUUGAAGAUUAUCAAUUUUCUGUACUAUAAGUUAUUAGCAAGAUUAAAUUUCUUAUGUAUCGACGAGCGCAUCUGUUGCAUUUGUUUUAUCAUCUUGAUAUAGGUCUUCUUGUAUUAGGAAGACUUUUGAUUUUUAACUGUCGGGUAUGCCCCGUUUAUUAUUGUAUCGUUUUGGGUUUAAUAUCAUUUACAUUUUCUCCAAAACAUGUUAGUUUUUGUGCCCAUUCUACCUUAAGCGCUACGCAAUUAAUACCACUUAAGCUACUUCAAACUAAUUUGCUCAAAUUAAAAAGAGUAGAUAUGCUACAUUAAAGAGUUUUAUUCCAUUCAAUAUCCCUUCAGAAAGUGAUUUCGCAUUGAAUGUUCCUUCUUUCUAAAAGUGAUCUCUCUCAAAGUGAUCUUUAAAACAAUGUAGAAUUUAUAAAAAAAAAAAAAAAAUUGCGUGUAAUGUGUUCCUUCUUUAACUAAGGGAUCUUUGAACAAUUUAAAAUUUUAUAAACAUUUACUAAUUCUUUUUCUGUCGAUCACCAUAGGCUUAGUAUUAGAAUUUCAAAUUUUAGAUGUGAAAGGACGAAAACUGCAAUGUGAAAAGUGAAAGUUGUUACGUGGAAGUAUAUAUAGUAAAAUGAAAAGAAAAAUCGGAAAGAACAAACUCCGUGUGAACAUCACUAAUUAAAGUUAAAGUUGGACUAAAUUAAAAGAACCAAUAAAAACAAAAGUAAGAUCACUAAUUAAAGUUAAAGUUAAACUAUUAAAAAGAACCAAUAGAAACAAAAGUAAGAGAAAUAAAAGUCAACAACAGCCUAGGUACCUCUCCAAAUACUUGCAAGCUUAAUAAAAUAAUGAAAAUCUAAUAAAAAAAAUGGAGGAAAUAGCCAACACACCUUCUAUAUAUGACCAUGCAUUGUUACAUCUCUACCACAAAAUAUGAAUAUCUAAUCUUAUUGGAAACGAUAUUAAUAAAUGAAAAGAUAAACAUCUCUUUUUAAACCUUAUACAUCAUUCACAUAAUUAUUUCAUGUAUCAUGUUUAACAUUUUUUAAUUUCAAUUUAUAUUUUCUUCUUCGUAAAUAUAAAGCCAUGUACACCCAUUAACAAAGUUCAUCUUGUUUACAGCUUCCUUUAAAAAAAACUGUUGUUUACAACUUAUUCUCCACAUUAAUUAUCUUAAUCUUUUUUUUCAAACAAAGCUCAAUCAAUUUUUCAUAUAAAAAUUAAUUCUAACUUUUAAUUUUAUUCUCAAUAUCAAACAAUCACAUCAAACACUUUAUAAUCAUCCACCAUAUUCCAACAAUAUCCAACUCCUAAAUUGUGACAGAUAUAAGUUUUCUAACUUACAAAUAUUUUAAUUUCUAAGUUAAAUUUGAAAAAUAUUAAUUUAAAAAUAACUUGUUUAAAUAAUAUAAUUGUGAAAAAUAUGUUAAUUUUAUACAUACGCUUUCAACAACUAUCUUAGAAUUAUGUAUUCUUUUUAAUUUAAUAUAACAUUUCUUUUUAAAUAUUUCUAACAUCUUGAAAUUAUAUCAUAUACAAUUAUAUUUUACAAAUAAUUUUAUAAAUGAUAUAAUUUUGAUAAAUGCAUUUUUUAUGUAUAAUUUCAACAAAUAUGUUAUUAUUUAAUUUUUUAUAGCUUAAGGUAAUAUUUAUAUUUUAAAUGUUUUUUCUUCGAAUUAUAUAUAUCAUAAACAAUUAUUUCUAGCGUUAUUUCAAAAUAAAUUUUGGGGAGCAAUUCCAUAAAGUAAGACAAAGGUUUUAGCUUGACAAUUGAAAAAAAUGCAUAAAAAAAGGGAUAUCCUGUGAAGUUCAAGACAAUACAAUUGAAAUGACAAUACUGAAGUGUGAGCACAACCUCGGUAGCAUGUUAUGAGAGGGUUAGAAAAUGAAAUAACAUUACUGAGGAUGAAACUACAAAACUCCAUUGUUUUUAAAACUCAUAAAUCCUUAUAGCUGAAUAGGGUUAAACAAAUUCAUCAAAAUCUCUAUCAUUCUUUUAUAGUAUCAAAUUUAAAUUAUUGUCCUAUUUUUAAGAUAACAAAUUAUUACUGUAAAAAAAGAUUAUAAAUUAUUAAAGAUAAAUUCAUAUAUAUAUAUAUAUAUAUAUAUAUAUAUAUAUAUAUAUAAUUAUAACCAAAUAACUAAAAUUAUUUUUUAUUAACAAAUCUUAUGAAAAAAAAUUAAUUCAAUGAGCUAGCUCACAAGCUAUUUCUGUCCGGCACACCCUAUUUCUUCAUUUGAAACAUUUUUUGUUUGAAUGGUUUAAAUUUAAAUAUGUUUUAAUUCUUGCUAAAAAAUUUAAUUUUGAUUUUUGUCCCUUUUCAAUUAUUGUUAACUUUUUGUCCUUAAUAAUUUUUUUUUUACUUUGGAUUUGUUUACAUAGGACUUUAGAAAAUGAAAUAAAAUUAUUUUUAAAGUUAUCUGAGAAAAAACAGAAAUAUUAUUAGAAACCAAAAAGUUAACAGAAAUUUAUCACAAAUAACAAAAACAAAAUUUAAAGAUUUAUCAAGAACUAAAAAUAUAUUUAAAACGGUUGUAACACAAAAGGAGAUGAAAAAUCAAUCAUUAUGCUAUUCUCCUUGAACAAGAGUUAUAAUUUCCAUCUAAUACUUCUUUUGGAUAUUGAAAUUAUUCGAUGAAACAACUUUAAAUUAAAUUUCAUAGAGCAACUCAGUCCAUACAAUGGAUUGUGUUUUACCUUGACAGUUGAAAAAAUGCAUUAAAAAGAAGGAUUUUCCGUGAAGGUUCAAGACAUUACAUGCAUGCUUAAUUUUAAAUGAUGAUGAUAUAUAUAGUAUAAGGUUAUUUGUUAUUUAUUUGAUGAGUUAACUUAAUAUUUAAUUCCAUCCACUCCACUACUUGCUAAAACUGACCACCCUCUUCCGAUUGACUCAAGGUUUACAAAAUUCGCUCCGUCAUGUUGUUCCAUUCCUAGAUGGUAUUUUAAAGGGAAAAAAUGGUUAAAUAAGGAUAUGACGUAUAAAAAUCAAAUAAAUCGAUCGUGUUUGCAGAAAAAAUGAGUUCCAAAGUCAAGUCAAUUUAAAUUGCAAUUGGGACAACAUUGAUAGUGUGAAAGGGUUAUAAAAUGUAUGUGUCAAUCUGCGUGAGGGAUGGGCUGUUAAGUGUUAAAGCUUAAUUUAGCCACAAAUUUUGCAUAUAGUGUUUUUAUUUUGCCUAUAAAUAUUAAUCUUUGGUUCGUGAUUCCUUGAUCUUUCAUGUAUAUUUUCUCUUAUAGUAAGGGCACGUAAACAGUUUUGGGUAGAAUAUGGAAUCAUGGAUGUGGUGUUUCCUUCUCUGUUCCCAUUUGCUCAUCCUUUAUUUUUCACCCUCUCAUUCCUUAUGCCACCCCCAUGACAGCUUUGCCUUGCUGCAGUUCAAAAACUCCUUCACUAUUAAUACUAGUUAUGACCAUUAUGAAUAUCCUUAUUAUUAUCAUAAAUGUGAUACUGGUUAUUCAAAAACGACAACAUGGGAAAUUGGAGGAGAUUGUUGCUCUUGGGCUGGAGUCACCUGCCACCCCAUCUCAGGCCACGUCACUCAGCUCGACCUCAGCUGCAGUGGCCUUGUCGGUAAUAUUCAUUCAAACAGUACGCUUUUCCAUCUUUCUCAUCUUCACUCACUCAACCUUGCUUUCAAUCAUUUUAAUCAUUCUCAUUUGUCAUCUCUCUUUGGUGGGUUUGUGAGCCUCACUCAUCUCAACUUGUCUUCUUCUGACUUUGAAGGGGAUAUUCCUUCCCAAAUCUCUCACCUUUCCAAAUUAGUCUCACUUGAUCUCUCAUAUAAUAUGUUAAAGUGGAAGGAAGACACUUGGAAGAGAUUGCUCCAAAAUGCAACAGUUUUAAGGGUGCUUCUUUUGGACGAAACAGAUAUGUCUUCCACUUCAAUCAGGACACUCAAUAUGUCUUCCUCUUUGGUUACUCUUAGUUUGAGAUGGACUUGGCUAAGAGGAAAGUUGACCGAUGGCAUUCUCUGUUUACCAAAUCUACAGCACCUAGAUCUUGCAUAUAAUUGGGACAUUCAAGGCCAGCUUCCAAAAGUGAGUUGCAGCACAGCUUCUCUUGGUUUCUUAGAUCUUUCAGGUUGUGGUUUGCAAGGGUCAAUCCCUCCCUCUUUCUCCAACCUCACACUUCUCACUUCCCUGGACCUCUCAAGUAACCACCUCAACGGUUCAAUCCCAUCCUCACUCUUAAUCCUUCCACGGCUAACCUUUCUGAAUCUAAACAAUAACCAACUCAGUGGUCAAAUCCCAGAUGUCUUUCAUCAGUCAAACAACUUUCACGAAUUGGAUUUGAGUAAUAACAAAAUAGAGGCUGAGCUGCCAUCAACGCUUUCAAAUCUUCAACAUCUCAUUCUCUUGGAUCUUUCACAUAAUAAAUUUAUUGGUCAAAUCCCAGAUGUGUUUGCCAGGCUAAACAAAUUGAAUACUCUCUAUCUUGGGGGAAACAAUUUUGGAGGACAAAUCCCAUCUUCAUUGUUUGGCUUAACUCAACUUUCUGAGUUGGAUUGUUCUAAUAAUAAAUUGGAGGGCCCUCUGCCUAACAAUAUCACAGGGUUUUCAAGCUUAACAUGGUUAAGGUUAUAUGGCAACUUACUGAAUGGGACAAUUCCAUCUUGGUGUUUAUCUUUGCCAUCUUUGACGACUUUAGAUCUAUCGGGAAACCAGUUCACAGGGCUGCCAGUGCAUCUAAGUACAAUCUCAUCAUAUUCCUUGGGGAUUCUAUAUUUGUCCUACAAUAAGCUGCAGGGAAACAUUCCAGAAUCAAUUUUCAGCCUUGUAAACCUUACUCUCUUAGAUCUAUCAUCAAAUAAUUUCAGUGGGUCUGUCCACUUUCGACUUUUCUCCAAGCUUCAAAUUUUGGAAAACCUUGACCUUUCACAGAAUGAUCAAUUAUCACUAAAUUUCAAAUCCAAUGUCAAUUAUAGUUUCUCCAGCUUAAGGAGUUUGGACUUAUCUUCUAUGGAUUUAACUGAAUUUCCGAAAUUAUCUGGAAAAGUCCCAAAUUUAAUGUUUAUCUAUUUGUCCAACAACAAACUUAAAGGUAGAGUGCCAAAUUGGUUGAAUGAAACGAGGUCGUGGUUACAUGAAUUGGACCUCUCUCAUAACCUAUUGACACAAUCAUGGGACCAAUUCUCAUGGAACCAACGACUCAAUUACCUUGAUCUUAGUUUUAACUCAAUCACUGGUGGCUUCUCUUCCUCAAUUUGCAAUUCAGAUGCUCAACUUGUCUCACAACAGGUUGACUGGAACCAUUCCACAAUGCCUUGCUAACUCAUCAUCCCUUCAAGUUUUGGAUCUACAACUGAACAAGCUUCAUGGCACUUUACCAAGCACCUUUCCAAAGGACUGUGGGCUCAGAACUCUGGAUCUCAAUGGCAACCAAUUAUUAGAAGGCUUUUUGCCAGAAUCUUUGUCCAAUUGCAUUGAUCUGGAGGUUUUAGAUCUUGGAAACAAUCAAAUAAAGGAUGUGUUUCCCCAUUGGCUUCAAACUCUACAAUAUUUGGAAGUAUUGGUUUUGAGAGCCAACAAGUUGUACGGUCCCAUUGCCUGUUUAAAGACCAAACACGGAUUCCCCAGUUUAGUCAUUUUUUAUGUCUCUUCCAACAACUUCAGCGGCCCAAUACCAAAAGCCUACAUUAAAAAAUUUGAAGCCAUGAAGAACGUUGUUCUAGAUGCCUAUAGCCAAUACAUGGAAGUAUAUAUUCAUUUGGGAUUAAAAUUAUAAUUAAAAAUUAUCUAAAAGAUUAAAUUUAUUAUAAUUUUAAAUUGUUCACAACAUAUAAAUAUUUACACUUGUUAAAUUAUUCUAUAAUUUCUCUUAAAUUAUUUUAAUGAAAAGCAAUAGUAAAAUAGUAGGAGCUUAAUCUAAGUUAUGCUAAGUAAAUAUUAGGUAAAAUUGGUAAGAGUGUGAGAAACAUAAUUAUUUAUCACUAUCAUCUCAUAAUGAGAAAAAUACAUCAUUAAAAAAAUACAAAAGAUAAUAAAUUUGUUUAAUAUGGUAGUGACAUUUUAUUCACACCGGAUAUAUUUUAUGGACAACCUAGACAAACUUACAAACAUUUCCUCCUAAUCAUUCUCCUCUCUUUAUUAGGGUAGUGACAUUUCCUUCACACUAGAUGCGGUGAUUCUUUUCAUCUCAAAAAACCUACAAACAUUGCCUCCUAACAAUUCCCCUCUUGUAUUCUUGUUCUACAAGACACUUCUAAGGUGUUCUUAGAGUAUAAAAUUAGGGUCUAACUCAACCCCAAAAACUAACUCAUAGGAUGAGAGUUGUCCUCAUCUUAUAUACUCUAUCUUGACACUAUCUCUAGUCAAUGUGGGACUUGAGUUUUUUUUCAAUUCUUAAAAGUCCUCCUCCUACCAGUAAAAUAAUAACAAACCUAAACAUUCAAAAUUAUGUUAAUUAAUAAAUUUCAUCGCUGUAUAUAUUUUAUAUAAAAAAAUUAAUUAACCUAUAUAUAUAAUUUUUUAAAGAAAAUAUGAGUGGGAAACCAUUAUUGUUUCAUUUGAUACUGCCAUGUUAAUCAAUCAUGUCUAAUAAAUAAUUUCUCCGAUUUCUAUUAAAAAAUUUAUUUCAUAUUUAUUAAAAGAUUAAUUAAUUUUAUUAAAUUGUAUUAAUCUCAAAAUAAAUUUUUUUUUUCUUUAUGAAAAAGUUAAAUUAAUAGAGGAUGGGAUUGGAUUUUGGAAAUAAAGGGCUUACAUACAAGUACCUAGCUAGGUACAGUUUAGUUUGUGGCCUUAAACUGAUCUGUUUUGGUUCUACCUUUCCUCUUGUGCAAUUAAAAAUUCUUCUAGCAUCCAUUCACAAGUUUUUUAUUCAAUAGUAUUUGACGUUGUUGAGAGUCUUUUUGUACUCUAGAAUUAACUAUGCCAUUGACAAUGGAUAAUUCUGUCAAGCAUGCUAUAUUGUUAAGAAAAAUACUUUUCUCCUUGUAAUUUGUUCAAUUUUACAAAUAUACGUAUAUCAAAUUUUGAUGGUGGUCUCAUUAUUUUGCCUCUAUUCCUUAUCUGCUUCCCUCACUUGGAAAAGUAAAAUGGUAUCAACAUAUUUUUUAUUGUAUUUUUAUAUUCUUUUGAAAUAAAUUUACUUUAGAGGAGUGUUUGGACCAGAUACCAUACAAACCAAUUAAAAAAUUUAAAUGCACGGUGUCUUUUUUAAUUUUGAUUUUGUGGCAUUUUUCCUCUAGAUUUGAUUGGUAUUUUUGAAACAUGUUGGCGAUUAGCUGACUUGUAAAGUCAACGAACCCUAGUGUGAAAAAAUAAUACGGUGAAGACAGUUUUUCAACAACUAAUUGUAUCAGCGAGAGUUUCCUUUAAUCUUCUUUUGAUGUGAUUAGAGUGUCUAAUUUUCUAACCCAUAUUUUAAAGGUUGGAAGACUCAGAAAACAACUGUUUGGUUCAACUAAAUUGGUUUAUACAUGUUUUGUUUUCUGAAUGAUAUGUAGCAUGCUUUCUGCGGUAGAAAACUAAGUCAGUCAAUCACAUGAGACAAAAAAUGAAAUAGUCCAAUAUAUGGCUUCAAGUUGUUGGUCUUUGUAUAUGUAUAGAUUGUUUUCCUUUGGAUCACCUCCAUUAUUAUUAUUUUCAUCAUCACCGUUAUAAUACCUUGCUACAUUAAACAUUAUUCAUAGUAAAAAAAAUUGUUUUAAUUAUCUUCAAAAGAAUUCAUGAUCAAACAAAAUAUUUAAUAAACUUAUUUAAAAAUGAUGGAUUGGUAAAAGCGAUGUAAAAGUAUAAAUUAUUAUAUAGAGAAUUAUCUUCCAAUUGGGGGGCGGGACCUAGGAUUUAUCUAGACAUAGCUUUCCAACUCUUAACAACUAAAACUUCUAGACACAAGCUCGAUUAGAAAAUCAACAGUACAUACACCUCAACUCAUGACAAAAACUCUUAUAUUCCAUAGAUAAACUUAAAUUUCUCAAUUUAGGUAAGAUUUAAUCAAAUUCAUGACUCAAUUCAAUUAUAUUUUAAUGGAUUAAUUUGGGUCAACUGCCGUAACAAUUUUUUUUUAAAACCUAAUAUUUUGUAGAAAUUAAAUUUUUUAUUAAAUAAAUUAAAUAUAAUUGUUUCUUAUUAUAUUUUAUUGAAAAGAAAUUUUUUAAUGUUACGGCACCUUAUUCCACUAACUCCUAUUUAUUCAAGGGAAUUGGGAAAUUAAACAUAUCAUAUGACAAGCUCUUUUUAAGGUGUAGCUUUAUUGGAAGAUCUUAUAAAUAGGAGAAAAAGUAAACUAUGCUGGAAAAAAAUGUUAAGCAAUGAAGUAGAAAUUAAAGAAAAACAAAAAGAAAUAUUGAAUAAAAUUGUAUUGUUUAUAAUUUUUUACGUUAUCUUAUUGUUUCUGCUUUCUGCAAUACUUUUUAUUUAAUGUCCCAAGAGUACUAGUAGUUAACAAGACACUUCUUGUAAAUAAGAAGUCAUAUAAUAGAGAACUAGAAUAAGUUGAAUUUGGAUAAUAAUUUGAGUAUUCUCUUCAUUGUGAGAGUUGUUCUUCUUUAAUAACUUUGAUUCUAUUAACAUAUUGCGGUUAUGAUCAAAUUCUACUUGUUCAUCUUGCAUGAAUUUAACAUGAUCCUAUAAAUCGAUUCGUAUUAUUGUUUAUCAGACAAUAUAAUUAAUUGUUAGUACAGUGACCUGUGAGCACAUCUAUUUGUAUACAUACGGUAUAGAUAAACUAUUGGUUUUCUCAAUUUGAGCACAAAUCUCUUAAUAUAAUUUUUGUUCAUUUCUAAUAUUUUACAAAAAUAUUGAUGUAACCGUCUUGCCAUCUCUAUUUUAAAUUUGGCAAUAACAAAUUAAACUAAAAUAAAAUCAAAUUUCAAAUUUGGGAAUAACACAUUAUCUAAUAGUGACCUCCAAAUCAAUUUCGAUGGCAAUGUUGUAACAACCUUAAUAACUUCUUUGACAUAUCUGCGUUCCUUCUUUGCAUAAAUUGACUUCCAAGUCAAUGCAAAACAAAAGACACUGUAACAACGUUUUGCAUGGGUAGAAAAUGGGAAACUGUGUGUCAGAACUCUUUUGCUAAAGAAACCUCUACUCGCCCAUAACACGCUUUCUAUCCCUCUCAUUCUCUCCAUAGAUGAUAUUUGCUUUGUCUUUUACUAAUAAAUAAGUAAAUUAUAAUCACCCCAUUAACAAAUUAAUUUUUUUAGUAAUCCAUUAACAAACUCAUUUGCAGGAUUUCUUUGGCUAAUUUAUGCGAUUAUGAUUUCAAAACUUUUUGGGAUACAAAUACCGAUUAUGCAUGUAAGUUCUAAAAGAUAAAAACUAUAUAACUCUAUUACUAUAAUAAAGGUUCAUUCUUUUUUAAUUGACAAAUUAUUUAGUUUAUUAAUUUAAUUUAUUCAGUGCUAUUUAAUUUCAGUCAGCUAGCUACUUGCUAAAAUUGAUUAUCCGCCUUCACUCAAGUCUGAAGGUUUACAAAUUACAAAAUGCAUUUUAAAGAGAAAAAUUAAAACGAUAAAAUAGAAAUAUGAAGUAGAAAAAUAAAAUAAAUCAUGUUUGCAAAGAAUUCCAAAUUAAUUCAAAUGAAAAUACUGGGCACGACCGAGAAAUAACGUAAUGAAAGGGUUGGGAAAUGAAUGUUGGUUUACGUGUGAGAUGGGUUGUUGAAGUGUAUGCUCCUUGGGUGUUAACAAAAUUAAUUUUAAAUGUAAUUGAUUUUAUAAAAUUGAUUUUGAAGUGAUUUAUGUUGGUAUGUUUUAUUAUAAAAUUACUGGAAGUGACAAAGAUGAGACCGAUACCGAAGGGUGAAGACCAAAGAUGGCCAUAUGCACUACUUAGUAUAAUGGUUGGUGUAAUAGCAACUUCCACGAAUAUGUGCAAUUGUGCAUGUUUGGUUUUAAGAUUAAAAUGUAUUUUUGAAAUAAAAAUAAUUUUAUUAAAGGAUCAAAAAUCUUAUUUUUUUUUCUUUGAUUUUAUUUUUAUUCAUUAAAUUUUUAGUAUAAUAUGCAAAACAUUUCUAACUUAAUUAACCGAAACAAGAGCCUCUAGGCUCUAGAAUCUCAUUUUUCUGCCUUCAAAAUAGACGGUUCCAUUCCAAUAGUUAUAAAUUAUGAAGAGUACUUCUAUGAUGUGAUGUUUUCUUUUUAUUGUAAUAUUAAUGUAAAUUAUCUGUGAGUUUAAACCACAAUUAAUUUUUAAUGAUAAUAAAUUUAACUGAUUAUUUUUAAUAUAAUUUUUUAAAAACUGUUUUCGUUCUCUAAAUUUAAACUUAGGAACUUAAUUACAAAAUUCGAACAUAAUGUCAUUCAAAUUAAUGAUUCAUAUCUGAGAAGAAUAAAAAUAACAACUAGUUGUUCGGUAAUUUGCACUCUUACGAUGGUGGGUUAUUAUUGUACAAAUUUCUGAAACCAAUUAAUAGAAACUCGGGCUUAACCAUAUGUGCCGGUCAAUAUAUAACAUCCAUUUAUUUAAUUGAUUAAGAAAUCAUUGACAUAAACACGAUAUGGCUAGGAACCUUCAAUAUGCAUGACGCAAUGUAUGACAGGGAUCUUAUAGUAUUAUUGACCAUAAUCCUCUUGUUCGGACGCGGAAAGAAAAUUAUAUGAAAAAUAAGAAUAAAAGAAACCCUAUUCAUGAGUCAUGAGGAAAAUAUUUUUCUAAUGCAAAUACAAAUGUUUUCUUUUAACUUUUUUAAUGUAUUUCUCAUGUACACGUCCGCCAGUAAUUGUAGGUGUCAAAAUUUAUGUAUAUCUUGAAAUAUUUCCAUGGACAUCAAUCUUUUUUUUUUCCUUUUCUUUAUUUACCAAUAAUAUUAUAUCCCUCGCAAUGGUUGUUUUCCAAUUAAAAGAAAAUUCAAAUAAAUAGAGCAAUUUCUAGUAAGACUUUUUUUGAAAAAAAAAUUCAAAAACUACAUGUAUCAUCUAUUAAUUACAAAUAAUUCUCAUCAAAUUAAAUAAGAUUAUUAUGAACUAUAAAUUUUUUUUCCUUGAAAGUUUUAAUGUUGUUGCAUACUAAGACUCAAAUUCAAUAUCAUGAGUAAAUUAGAAUAACUUCAUGUUGUUCGGUGGUUUAGAAAAGCUUUGAUGGACAAGUGAUUCCUAUUUAUACAUCUUGUUUUAUUUUAUGUCAUAAAUUUAAAUAGGAGGAACUAGCUAAUAUAAAACAAAAAAAUAAGAAUAAAAAAAUGUGUUCAAUCGCCUCUAUGAGCACUUUAAUCUUUUGCACAACAUUGAUAAAUAUGCUGUUGUAAACCUAGAAUAAGAUAUGCUUGAUGCAUGACUUGCUAGAUUCAAUCUCAUGCAUCACCAUUCACAUUAUAUGAUUGGUCACUACUCCCCAAGCCGAUGUUACUUCUUCAAUUGUAGUGGUCACGCUGGGUUCUGUUUCUAUUCCUGCGAUUAUUUCAGUUAAAGUGCUACCUAGGUUCUUCUAUUUCCCGGAUGUUGUUUCUUCUAGGGGGUUCCAGCCAUCUAUUAUAUUUGGCAAGUGUGUUAUGCCUUGGGAGCGCUAACUCUGUUAAAUGUUGCAUGCACCUCUUUGUGCUAUUUCAAUGAUAUUCUUUUGGCUGUUUCAGAAAAAAAAUAAAAAUAACAAGGAAGAAAGUUUAUUUCUGCAUUUGCAUUGCAUUGAUCCUCUAAUUAAUUAGGUUUCUCAAAAUCUAUGCAUGUAUAACACUCCCAUAUAUAUUGUGAGGGAAAUAAAAUAAAAAAGAAAGUUGAAAUUAAGAAAAGACUACAAUAUUAGCUCGUUCUCGAUCUCUCCAUACAUAUAUAAUAUUCUCGUUUAGUCACAAGUCACACGCACAACACUAUACUACUUAGACUCUACAAAUCAAAAUCUGAUAUCUCAGUCUCAGCUUAUAUAAAUAUGAUACUUAGACUUGAAGAACAUCCAAAGCUGUCAAGCCAUACAGAACGAUACAAAAUUACAAUAAAUUAAGUAUAAUUGAAUAUACACACCUAGUGCCUUUGGAUCUUGGAAUUCUACUACCUAUGUGACAUCAGUUACAGUGUAAGAAUCCAUUUGGAGGUCUAAGUUCACAUUAAUUUAUAAACGUACGUUUCAAUUUUUUAUAUUAAAAUUUUUAAUCAUUUAAAAUUAAAUAUUUUUUAAUUAUAAAUUAUUAGCAGGCAGGGAUAUACUCCCGUGUUGUCAAUGUUGGGCAGAACUCACACACACAUAAAAUAAGAUUUCAUUUUUUUCAAUUAUGUAGACGUUUCUUUCAACCGUAGUUUGUUUACUCUUGAAUUUCGAGAAGAAAAAUGCACACCUUUUCCUACUCCUAAAUACUUUUAUAAAGAGAGAAUUGGCCACUUUACGCGUAAUGGGUCAUAAUUCAUACGAACUUUGGUUCGUUAAAUCUAAUAAUUAUUCUUAGACUUUGUUAGUCAUAUUGCUUCAGUCAUAGAAAAUUAGGUUUCAGUGGUCUUUUCCUCAAAGAUUGAUGAAUAAUAAUACACUUAUGAUUAAUUUGAUUGGUUUUUUCCUCCCAAAUACUUCUUUGUAAUAAUACAUACACAACCUUUCAUAAUUAAGGGAAGAUGAUUCAUACAGAAACUUAUUGAAUUUCCUUGUAUCUAUUAUUUAAUUAUUAACUUACAUAUUCAUUUGUCAAAGAAGAGGGAUCCGCGAAAAGGAAAGAUACAAAUAAUCAAAUAAAACGACAAAUGUUUCUUAUGAGUGUAGACAAGUUAUGCUAUUCUCAAUCUGUUAAUUUACAACUACGUAAGUAAAUUUAACAUUAUAUUUUAAUUCAAAAUUUUAAAAUUCAUGUUUAUGAGUUUUGUUUCUCACUUAUAUGAUAUUUAAUUUUUCUACUUUUACUCAAUGUGAAAUUUCAUCAUACUUAUACUCCAACAAUGUGAAAUACUUGAUUUGAACUACUAUAAGAUUUGAGAAAGGAUUCACACAAAUCGUAACAAUAAUUCCCUUUUAAAGAGUUUGAUAAUUACUUAAGUUUUGUGAGAACGCAGGAAGAAUUAAUCUUAGUCGUAUGGAAUGUAUGGUAGGUAAGAAAUGAUGAAAAAAUAGGAGAAGAGGGAGAAGAAAUAACAGAGUUUUUUGAAAAAUAAAAAUAGCAGGGUUGUUUGGUUGUAAAAAAUACGUGAAAAGGAAAUUGUUGAAAAGGUUGAUGUCCACACAUUUUUAUUUCCUCACAAAAGUGAGCCAAAAUAACAGUGGGUGGAUUAUAUGUUAAUAUUUUGUGGUGGUUUAAAAUUAUACUAAAGUAUGAAUUUAUUAAUUACUUUGAUACUUUGAUGACUGUUAUUUUUCUAGUGGUUAGAAAUUAUAAAAAAAAAACAUUUAGUGACUUUUUUUUGUCACAAACAUUUUAAUUAUUUUUUUAAACAAAAAAAUUAAAAGUGAUUGAAAUGCAAAUUUAACAAAUUAAAAAGCUAUUUUAAUCUAUUAAAAUACAAAUUUUGAUAGAUUAUAAGUAAUUUUUUUCUCUUUCUUAUUUCUUUUAAAUCAAAUGCUUUUUUUUUAAAUCCAAUAUAUUUUUGAUCUAUUUUUAUUCAUUUAUUUAUCUCUUCCCUAUUUUCAUCUAUCAUGCUUCUCAACUAUUUCAUUAUUUCUUAUCAAUCACACCGCUAAUUAAUUAAAUCUAAUUUCAAUCAUUUAUCUUAAAUGUAUAGCCAAGAAUUAUUGGUCUCAUCUCUGAGCUAGACACAUCACACACAUUAAGUAUAUAAAAUAUCAUAUGCUAGUUGUUAACUCAAUGAUAAUUGCACUUUUCAGGUAAAGUCUUCGAAAGGUCUAAGUGUUAAAUCCAUAAGAACUUUAUUUAUACUUAUAUUAAUACAAACUUAUUUUAUAAGUAAAGAGAUAAAAAAUUUAAAAUAACACAUCAAGAAAGAUAGGAGAUAAGAUAAGGAUUUAAAAGAGAAGAUAAAAGAUUUAAAGAUAAAAAUAGAAAAGAUAAAAGAUGAUAAAGAUAAAAAAAUAGAAAAUAAGAUUAAAAAAAAGAUAAGAUAAGAAAAGUAAAAGAUGAGAAAAAUAAAAGAUAAAGAUGAAGAUAAAGAAAAAUAAAUUCAGAAUAUGAUAAUGUUGAAACCUAACCUGCCUUAUUUACCCAAGAUAUAUUAUUUUAGAUUUUCUCUAUCAAUUUGUUAAUUUUUUUUCCUAUCCACGUCUAUUAGAAUAUUUUCCGCUAAUGUCUCACGAUGACAAACUUAUCUUACCAAUUUAUGUCCCAAAUGUGUUUGCAAAGACUCAAUAGAUAAAAUGGAUGAAGUUUUAAUUCUAUAUGUUUUCUUUGAUGCAUUAACACAAUACAAUCACUCUAUGUCUAGCAAUGAUUCCUUUCUUUUAGUUCUAUUAGAAAUUAUCAUCUAUCAAGUGACUACUCCCUAAAACGAAUACAUGUAAGAUCUUUUUUGUAUUUCUAUUAAGGAUUAUUCUCUGUUGAACACUUAACCCUUAAAAAUGAUGUAAUAAUAAAUUAUACAUGAAAUUAAAAUAAGAAAGGAUAAUAGGAAAGAAAACAUUUGUUUGCAAUGAUAAAUAUGAAACAUACAAUACAUCUUUUUACUUUUUUUUAGGUCAGUCAGGUCCUAACUAAGAGUUUAAUUUCUCAUAAACAUAAAGAGUCUUACACUUAAAAAGGGAUAUAGAAACAGGUUUAGAAGAAGUGAUGAAAAAAGGACAUAAAAAAAAAAGAUUUCCCCUAGAGAUAUCAUAUGAUGUAUUCAUUAAAGAUCUCUAAGUGUCAGGGUUGCUAUCUUCCCUCCUUGGUUUGAUUCCCUUUUUAGUGUUGGUGUGGAUUUGGACCCGAUGCCAAAAAGUCUUCCUCAUCCAUAUUUUUUUUUAUAUUUUCUAGAUCGUUUUCGCUUUUAAUUUCUCAUUUUCAUAUCUACGAAUCAUAAAUAAGAAAAGUAUCAAUUCUUAACAUUUAAACCAAAAAUAACUACUAAAUAAACUUUAUUUUUGUAGUUGUUGGUGUGGAUUUGGGCAUAAUGCCAAAAAUAUUUCUUAUCUAUAUUUUUGAUAUUUUCUAGAUCUAUUUCGUUUUUAAUCUCUCCUCAUAUAUGCAUACCAUAAAUCAGAAAAAUAUUAAUUUUUAACAUUUAAGACAAAAAUAACAGCUAAAUAAAUAUUUUAAAGAUAUUUUCAAUAUAUUUUUAUGAUAAAAAAUAAUUCAUAUUUAAUGGUUACCAGUAAUUAAUUAUGUAUUUACUUUAAUUUGAAGUAAUAUACAAAGUUUAUGUCACCCAUGAUAAGCUUGAAAGCUAUUUUAGUAUAAUAAUUAAGAUAGUUGUAGUUGCAAUUAUAGAUAAGAUUUAAUUUUAACGCAUUGUUAGUAUAACUUUUUAUUACACAUUCAUCUUAUCAUUUGCAAAUCAAUCAUGAAAUUUGAAUCGAGCAGUAUAUUUCAUUACAUAAUUUCAUAAUAGGGUGAAAAACUUAUUUGACAAUGCAUUUUUUUUUCAGAUCACAUACGUACAGGUAUCUUUUAUGACAAAUAAUAUAACUAAUGGGUGACAGAUUUUUUUGAAAUAUUAAUCAAAGUCGAGACCACUCUUAUUAUGCUAGAACACCUCGCGCCAUUUCAUUCAUAUGUUCCGUUGUGACACUCCAUCAAGUUUAAAUUACAAUGUAUCACUCUAGGUUUAAUUUAUUUUAUAUUUUCAAAGAUUGGAUUCUUUAAGGGCAUUAUUAUGAAAAAAAAUUAUAACAUUUUUUUAUAAUUAUGAGAUAGGAAGAGAAGAGAGAAAAAUAAGAUAAGUAAUUAUAUAAAAAAGAAAAAAUAGGUUUAGUUCUAUUUUUUAAUUCUUAAAAUUUAAGGUAGACCUAGUGCCAUACAGAACGAUACAAAAUUACAAUAAAUUAAGUAUAAUUGCAUAUACACAACUAGUGCCUUUGGAUCUUGGAAUUCUACUACCUAUGUGACAUCAGUUACAGUGUAAGAAUCCAUUUGGAGGUCUAAGUUCACAUUAAUUUAUAAACGUUUCAAUUUUUAUAUUAAAAUUUUUAAUCAUUUAAAAUUAAAUAUUUUUUAAUUAUAAAUUAUUAGCAGGCAGGGAUAUAUUCCCGUGUUGUCAAUGUUGGGCAGAACUCACACACAUAAAAUAAGAUUUCAUUUUUUUCAAUUAUGUAGACGUUUCUUUCAACCUUACUCUUGAAUUUCGAGAAGAAAAAUGGACACCUUUUCCUACUCCUAAAUGCUUUUAUAAAGAGAGAAUUGACAACUUUACGCGUAAUAGACCAUAAUUCAUAGGAACUUUGGUUCGUUCACUACUUAAAAAAAGACCUUUUACUUCAGUUAAAAAUAAUGUUCAAUAACAAUGAAGACCCAUCUUUAAUUACGAUGUCAUUGUAGACCUCAUUCUUAUCUACGGUCGCCAAAACACCAUUUUAGAAAGCGUUGAUUUCUAAGUCAGUGCUUACAUCAGCGUUGACAUAGAAAUACGUGCUUUCUACGUCGAUUGUAGCGUAAGUACCAACUUAAAAUUCUAUUAUUUCUACGAUGAGAUUGAUGUCAUGACUGUUCUUAAAAGUUUGUUUUAAGACUUGAUUGCGAUUAGCUGAUAUAUAAAAUUAUAUGAUUUAUGAUUUUUUUUACCUUAUCUUAUUAUUUCUAUAAUACUUUUAUUUUAAUUCUUUAAUUAAUGUCCUAAGGGUACAGUUAACAAGACACUUCUUAUUCUUAUAAAUAAAAAGUCAUGUAAUAGAGAACUAAAAUAAGUUGAAUUUGGAUAAUAAUUUGAGUAUUCUCAACAUUGUGAGAGUUCUUUUUCUUUAAUAACUUCGAUUCUAUUAACCUAUUGCCGUUAGGAUCAAAUUUUACUUGUUCAUUUUGCAUGAAUUUAACAUGAUCCUAUAAGUCGAUUCAUAUUAUUGUUUAUAAGACAAUAUAGUUAAUUGUUACAGUAGUUUCCUGUGAGCACAUCUAUUUGUACAUAUAGUUAAUUGUUAACAAAGAUUAUAUUAGGAGAUUUGUGCUCAAAUUGAGCACAAAUCACCUAAUAUAAUCUUUGUUCAUUUCUAAUAUUUUACAAAAAUAUUGAUGUAACCGUAUUGCCAUCUCUAUUUCCGUUAAAUAUUGAAUAUCAAAUUAACUUGUUUGACAUAUCUGCAUUCCUUCUUUGCAUAAAUUGACUUCCAAGUCAAUGCAAAACAAAAGACACUACAUGCUGCAACGUUUUGCGUGGGGUAGAAAAUGGGAAACUUUUUGGGAUACAAAUACCAAUUAUAUAUGUAAGUUCUAAAAGAUAGAAAAUAUAUAACUCUAUUACUAUAAUAAAGAUGCAUUCUUUUUUAAUUGACAAAUUAAUUUAUUCAAUGCUAUUUAAUUUCAGUCAACUACUUGCUAAAACUAAUUAUCCGCCUUCAUGAAGUCUGAAGGUUUACAAACUACAAAAUGCAUUUUAAAGAGAAAAAUUAAAAUGAUAAAAUAGAUAUAUGAAGUAGAAAAAUCAAAUAAAUCGUGUUUACAAAUGUAAUGAAAAGGGUUAAAAAAUAAAUGUUGGUUUGCGUGAGGGAUAGAUUGUUGAAGUGUAAGCUGGCUUGGGUGUUAACAAAAUUAAUUUUAAAUGUAAUUAAUUUUGGAGUGACGUGAUUUAUGUUUUUAUACAAUUAAAUUAAGAAUAAAAUUUAUUAUUAAAUUUUAGAUCUAAUACAGAAAAUAUUUAAAGAUGUUUCAACUUAGAAUCAAUUAUGACAUUAGAAUCAAUUUUACAUUUUUUUAAAUGUGAAAUCAAACAUAUAAAAAUAUAUUUAAAAUUAAUUAUGAAUUCAAAAUCAAUUUUCCAACCUUGAAUCCAACGUGCAAGAAGUCUCAAAACUGUUGAUUAAGGAUAAGUUUUUUUUUUCAAAUUUAUCAUUUGGAGAUAAAAUUUAAGUUGAUAUUCCAAAAGGGAUAGAUUAUAAUAAGUGAUGCAACUUCUAAAUUAAAAGUGGUGACAUAAGUUAUGACUUCUUUUAUUUUUUACAUUAAAGUCGUAAGAAAAUUUAUGGCCUUCAUUUUUAUUAUUUUAAAUAUAAUUUUAAAGUGGUAAAAUUUGUUUUACAUAGACUUUAAAGUCAUAAACUUCUUUUUAUUAAAAUCGUAAAUUAUUUUAUGACUUCAAUUUAUUUUGCACCUAACGUAUUUUUUAAAAUCAUAAAUAAUUUUUUAUUUGUUAUUUAAUAAAUUAAUGUUUUUUAGUUUUAUUUAAUAUUUGCAUAUGAUUUUAUUUAAUAUUUUUGUAUUUUUUUAUUUUAUUUUAUUUAAUAUAUUUAAUAAUUUUUAAUGAUGUUAAGAAUUAUUAUUUAUUUUUUAAAUUAAAAAAUAAUAAAAAAUACCUAAUUUUAAAUAUAAAAAAAUCAAAAUGUACUACAUAUUUCUACUACAUAGAAAAUACCUAGGUAAGUGGGCACCGGUUACUAUUUGUCAUUUUAUUUGUAUGUGUUAUUCGUUACUUAUUGCUAAAGCUUAUCAUCCUCAUCCGAUUCACUCAAGGUGUACAAAAUGCUCUCUGUAAUGUGAUUUCACUUAUAGUUGGUAUUCUAAAUGAAAUAAAAUAAAGAUAUAAAGUAGGAAAAUCAAAUAAAUCAUGUUUGCCGAAAAUGUGUUCCGAGUGAAUUAAUUAGAAUGGCGUGAUGAGAGGAUUGGAAAAUGAAUGUUGGUUUUUGAGUGAUGGAUGGGUUGUUGAAGUCUCCAAGCUGCUGGGACCGCUGCCAAUGCUUAAUUUUGCAUAUAGUGUUUUUAAUUUGACUAUAAAUAUUAAUGUUUGGUUCCUUAGUAUUUCAUGUAUAUUUUCUCUUAUAGUAAAGAGUAUUUGAGUAGAAUAAUAUGGAAUCAUGGAUGUGGUGUUUCCUUCUCUGUUCCCAUUUGCUCAUCCUUUAUUUUUCACCCUCUCAUUCCUUAUGCCACCCCCAUGACACCUCUGCCUUGCUCCACUUCAAAAACUCCUCCAUUAUUGAUGAAGAUCCUUAUUAUUAUUCAAAGACGAGAACAUGGGAAAAUGGGACAGAUUGUUGCUCUUGGGCUGGAGUCACCUGCCACCCCAUCUCUGGUCACGUCACUGAGCUCGACCUCAGCUGCAGUGGCAUUGUCGGUUAUAUCGAUCCAAACAGUACGCUUUUCCAUCUUUCUCAUCUUCACUCACUCAACCUUGCUUUCAAUUAUUUUGAUGAAUCUCCAUUGUCAUCUCUCUUUGGUGGGUUUGUGAGUCUCACGCAUCUCAACUUGUCUAAUUCUGAAUUUGAAGGGGAUAUUCCUUCCCAAAUCUCUCACCUUUUCAAAUUAGUCUCACUUGAUCUCUCAUAUAAUUUUUUAAAGUUGAAGGAAGACACUUGGAAGAGAUUGCUCCAAAAUGCAACAGUUUUAAGGGUGCUUCUUUUGAAUGAUGGAACAGAUAUGUCUUCCGUUUCAAUCAGGACACUCAAUAUGUCUUCCUCUUUGGUUACUCUUAGUUUGGGAUGGACAUGGCUAAGAGGAAACUUGACAGAUGGCAUUCUCUGUUUACCAAAUCUUCAGCACUUGGAUCUUUCAUUUAAUCCGGCCCUUAACGGUCAGCUUCCAGAAGUGAGUUAUAGAACAACUUCUCUUGAUUUCUUAGAUCUUUCACAUUGUGGUUUCCAAGGGUCAAUCCCUCCAUCUUUCUCCAACCUCACACAUCUCACUUCCUUGUAUCUCUCUCAUAACAAACUCAACGGUUCAAUCCCCCCCUCUUUCUCUAACCUCACACAUCUUACUUCCCUAUAUCUCUCACAUAACGACCUCAACGGUUCAAUCCCUCCCUCUUUCUCUAAUCUCACACAUCUUACUUCCCUGUAUCUCUCACAUAACGACCUCAAUGGUUCAAUCCCUCCCUCUUUCUCUAACCUCACACAUCUUACUUCCAUGGAUCUCUCAUACAACAGCCUCAACGGUUCAGUCCCAUCCUCACUCUUAACCCUUCCACGACUAACCUUUCUGAAUCUAGACAAUAACCACCUCAGUGGUCAAAUCCCAAACGCCUUUCCUCAGUCAAACAACUUUCACGAAUUGCAUUUGAGUUAUAACAAAAUAGAGGGUGAGCUGCCAUCAACAUUUUCAAAUCUUCAACAUCUCAUUCACCUGGAUCUUUCACAUAAUAAAUUUAUUGGUCAAAUCCCAGAUGUGUUUGCCAGGCUAAACAAAUUGAAUACUCUCAAUCUUGAGGGAAACAAUUUUGGAGGCCCGAUCCCAUCUUCGUUAUUUGGCUCAACUCAACUUUCUGAGUUGGAUUGUUCUAAUAACAAAUUGGAGGGCCCUCUGCCUAACAAUAUCACAGGGUUUUCAAGCCUAACAUCGUUAAUGUUAUAUGGCAACUUACUGAAUGGGGCAAUGCCUUCUUGGUGUUUAUCUUUGCCAUCUUUGACGACUUUGAAUCUAUCAGGAAACCAGUUCACAGGGCUGCCAGGGCAUAUAAGUACAAUCUCAUCAUAUUCCUUGGAGAGAUUGUCUUUAUCCCACAACAAGUUACAGGGAAACAUUCCAGAAUCAAUUUUCAGACUUGUAAACCUUACUGACUUAGAUCUAUCAUCAAAUAAUUUCAGUGGAUCUGUCCACUUUCCACUUUUCUCCAAGCUUCAAAAUUUGAAAAACCUUGACCUUUCACAGAAUAAUCAGUUAUUACUUAAUUUCAAAUCCAAUGUCAAGUAUAAUUUCUCCCGCCUUUUAUGGAGAUUGGACUUAUCUUCUAUGGAUUUAACUGAAUUUCCAAAAUUAUCAGGAAAAAUCCCAUUUUUGGAAUCACUCCAUUUGUCCAACAACAAACUUAAAGGUAGAGUGCCAAAUUGGUUGCAUGAAGCGAGCUCAUGGUUAUCUGAAUUGGACCUCUCUCAUAACCAACUGAUGCAAUCAUUGGACCAAUUCUCGUGGAACCAACAACUCCGUUACCUUGAUCUUAGUUUUAACUCAAUCACUGGUGGCUUCUCUUCCUCAAUUUGCAAUGCAAGUGCAAUUCAGAUUCUCAACUUGUCUCACAACAAGUUGAC